rnacentral:lncRNA from 1 species
UACCUUUCACCAUGGGACUUGUAACCGUCACUUCUGUCUUGAGUAGUUAAAAGAUAGAACAGUCUAGCCAAGUGCCAUGUCUCUUAUUCUUGAUCAGCUAUAGCUCUGGAGUUUUUGCAGAUUUUCAAAUAAAACUCAGAGAUUCCUUGUAUGACUCUCUAAAUCUCUCUUUUGUGGUAUUUCUGGAUCCUUACCAAGGCAGUGAUGGUAUAUGCCUUCUCUCAAGAUAUGUGGUAUUUGUGGUAUAAGGCAUAGUGAUAUUGCCUUCUCUCUCACCCUACUCUAAUAAGGCUUUAAUAUCUGUAGCUCAUAGGUGGGAGACAGCUAAUACAUACUUACAAGACAUUUAUUGCAUAGUCAAACCAUGGAUCCAGAGAAACAAGUCAAUAAGUCAAAUCAAGAUGUGCAUGUGUGGCGAAUGAAUGGUGUAUGGUGAUGAUGGUAAUAACAAUGGUGGAAGUCUAAUUCUACUUUUGCUCUUUUGAGGGGAUACAUACCUUCCUUGCUUUUUGAAACUUUAUGAGGAGAAUGAGAUGCUCUUCUUUUUCUUUCCUCUCAGGUGGGUAUCCUGUAUCCCUAAUUCUACUGUCGGACACUUGUCCAUUUUUACCUCUUGUCUCACUUUUUCUUUCUUUCGAGGUUCCGGGCAGUUGCCCCUUUUUAUUUCCUCGUUUAUUUUUUUUCUUCUCUUUUCUCUUUUUUUAGAGCACUCAUCUCUUGAGAUAAUAUAGCAAGUGGUAGUAGCAAGAUAACUUGAGCAUUUAUUUCACAAGGGAAAACAGAAAUAUUUUUGGCUAUUCUCUCCCAGAUUAGGAGUAGAAUAUUUUUAGGUGGUUCUGGAGAUGGACAUGGAUGGAUAUAUGUGGAUGGUACUUCCGGAGUAGAAGUAGCAUAUAUGAGUGAAUGUGCAAGUGAAUCUUGAUUUAACCACAUGACAAGCUCCUAAGGGUCUACACAGCUUGACCACACUCAAUGCUAAUAAGCAGUAAAUAAUAAAUGUGUGGCUCAAAGUCUAGCAAGCAUGUAUAUAUGGUUGUGGUAGGAAUUUAAACUCUCAUCAUACAGGAACUCAUCAUGCAAUAUUUUACAGAUUUUUCAAAGAUAAAAUUCUCCAGAAUUCUAGCAUCUAUAGGAACAGAUAAACAGCAGCUCAACCUUCCCAUAUCAUAUCCGUUAACAACUUAGAUUUCAGAUCAAGUUUUCAUUCCACAAGUUUAGAUCUAGAGCAAGCUUUAAAUUAUAACAGUUAUGUCUAAACUUGAGAGAGAACUUCAAAUUUGCAAAUUAGGCAGAGCAACUAUUCAUCAUAUCCAUGCUAGAGUUUUAUUAUUAAGAUUUAGAUUAGCAUAGCCACUUUAUUUAUUUAUUAAACACACUAAGCAAAAGAUAUAUAUAUAAGCACAAAAUCUUUAUUUGGUUUUUCAUAGGUUAUGUAUUUUAAUAUUCUAAUAUAAUAUAAGUAUAGAGAUAGGUAGAAAUACUUAGCGAGAUAAAUGGGGGUGCCCUUCCCCAAGCUGAAUUUUGACGUAAAUUCUCUUGAUGUAGCUAGCAGGUGGCAGAGGUGUAUUUGGAAGUCAGCAGCAUUCCCACAGCGAUUAGAAUGUCCUCCGUCUGCUAGUCUUCUUGAUUCUUAAAUUCUGUGGAGCUCAUAUAGACAACAAAACUUUUGGAACUAAUUAAGUGUUAGCAUAAAUAUCUAGCCUUCAUCAUGUUGAGCUUCCCCAAUAAAUAUUACUCCCUGUUUUUAUAUUUUUAUUUUAUAAGGCAGAAAAGAAAUAUUUAUUUUAUUUUUAUGCCACCACAGUGAAGGUACUUAUGGGUUUUAUGCCACUCGUAUACUCACAUGGGGCUUAGUAUUUUUUAACAUUUUUAUUUUCUUUUCAAGAUAGCAUGAUUAACUAAUAAUCUAUUUAGGGAAAGUAAAUAAUUAAAAGGAAAAGGGAAUGCAGGAAGGAUAAAUAUGGAUAACUACCGAUCUUACCUUUCGGCGAUGGUUCAAUGUUUUAAGUCUUCUUAACAAGACUUCUCACCGUGUUCAUUCUUUAGGUGCGUCAUUUGAUUCAGGUGCAGACCUUGACGUCUGCACCUCUUGAUACGGUGUCACCCAUGUUCUUCGUUUGCCCAGCAGUUCGAAGUGUGGCGUUGGCAGUAACCUACUCAGUGUGUUUGUGCUCGUAGAUCCAGGUCCUUCACUUGGUAGAGUCUGAGAGUUAUAGAACUCCUCCGUGUUUUGCUCGAAGUGUACCUGCUCAUAGAGACAAGGCAGAGAUCAAGUGCAUGGGUCCUGUUGGUGGAAAACACCAACAGAACCUAAAGUGUAUUUGUUCUUCUCUAACCCUAAGCAUAGUGAGCAAGACAAAGUUGAUGGAUGAAAAGUUCAUGAGUGUAGCACUUAUAACAUUUGUCAGAUCAGAUUCGCUCAACCUUAUGGAAAGAUAAUCUAUCUAUGUAUAUGUCUUUUUCUUUAUAUUUGUCAAUGAUUGAAUGUGUAACAUUUUAGCUCAUAUGUUUAGGAGUGUGGGAUCAUGGAGGUUGUACUAAGAACAAGGAUUAAAGGACUAAACAUGUUGAAUCAGUUGGGUUGGUUAGUCUAGAGUUGUAAAUCAUAUAUGUUUGUCUCUUUUAUUUAUAUGAACGCCAAAACCAAGGAGAAGCUUAUAAAAGUGAUAGUCAAGUACCUUAAGAUGUUACCUUGCUUGAAGAGUGAUGGUACAGUAUCACCUUGUGGAAGCUUUCCUUUCUUAGCGGUUGUGCAUCGUGUUUGUGGCACCCUCCAUGGAUCAUCUCUCUAUGAUGAAUGAGCUAUGUCCUUCUUGUGCAAAUUGUUAAACUUCAUGUGUCACUCUCUUCAUCUCUGAUGUGAGUUUAUCUCAGGACUUCCCAAAUCGAUAUUGAAAGUUUUUCUGCAGGGGUUAGUCCGACAAAAAUAUACCAAUGUCUACACAAGCAGUUUUUUAGUUCAAUAACCAAACUAGACUCCAUGUCUAAUCAGAUUAAGGAAGGCUGUUUAACCUAAGCACCAUGCUUAAUUUAAAAGCCAAUAGAAGUAUGUGCAGUACUUCCAAACUAACACUUACUAGUAAAUAGACAAAGGUAACAUGACAACAUUUAUAGAGAUCUACUCAAGUGGAGAUGUAGUAGUGUGAUUAGUCUUUAACAAAUUGAGCAUGUCUUAAAGGUAGGGACAACCAACAUAGCAACAUGGCAAAGGAUGUUUUUAUAUAAAGUACUCCCCCAAGCUUGAAUUUUGCAGAAUUCAAGUUUGGUUGAAUUUAAUUCAAUGUUGUAUGAUGAUUGGUUGGACAUACCUUGUGCUUGUCAUUCAUCUGAUCUUCUUGCUCCAAUCCUGUAAAGGUUAGUGACAAGAAUACCCGAAGGAAUAUUUUUACAAUUAUCCUUAUAUGUUCAAUACACAAGGUAAUGUUGUAAAUGAUUAAAAGCUCAUGUUACGAUUUGAUCAGUGCUUAUUUUAGGACACUAAGCUUGUUCUUGGGAAACCAUCAAUUUAUGUCAGCGAAGUGGUUUCCCUUCCAACGCUGACCUAUAUCAAGAUCAACUCAACGAGAUCUGCAAUAUUUAUUAUAGACAUAUGCAUCGACAACCGCCCUUUUAAAGUUUUUAUAAAUAGAAAGGAAGAGGGGGUUGGAGAUCUCAAAUGUGGUGAUGUUGGAGAGACCAAUAGAUUGGGAAGAUGUUGCAUAUGAGCAUGGAGUAAACAAAGUGGCUAUGAAAUAAAUUCCAUGCUCAUUAAUGUUAUCUUCGUCUCCAAUCUGAAUGUUCAGAGUUUCUCCUGGAUUAGUCUCACCUAUGUCCUCUUCUGUAGCUGGGUGAAUCUCAUCUUCAAAGGGUGUCAAGAACUCACCAUUUGAAGUUGAGCCAAAUUCAGAAUUCAUUAAGGCUUCUUCCUUAUCCAUCCAUUCUACACAUUCUAGCCAGUUAGAACUUGUGAUUAGGAAAGGGGAGGUGUUAGAAUUUUCAAUAUGGCUUAGCUCUCCUUCACUUGAUAUGUCAUCCUCGACUUCUUCAUAACAGGAACCAGGACAUUCUCUAAGAGAACCAUUAUUGCGAGGAUUCAAAUUAUCCUGCUUGAAGGUCUCUUAUGGAACCAGAAGUCUAAACCAUCAGCAUCUGAAAGAUUUAAGGUCGGAAUUCCUUCCUCCCUUGGAGAAUUUUGGGGUAUUGAUGGUUUAGGAUCGAUAGCUAAAGUUUGGAAUUGAAAUGGUUGUGAUCUGGCUAUCGAAACUUCUUCUUCUAGUCUAGGAACUGGUUCUGUCUCUUUCUCAGGGAUAUAAAAGCUAGGAGACUUUCCACUUAAUAAAUCAAUCAAAUUCCAAGCUUCACUAGUAGGUAGGUGAUAGAAGGAUCCUCUAGAGGCUGUAUUCAAGGUUUGCUUAUUUUCCCCACUAAGGCCCUCAAAAAAGUGAAUUAGAAGAACUUCUUCUGGAAUAGAAAGUUUUGGGCCAGUGAGAGUAAGGUUAAUAAAGCGGUCCCAUGAUUUGUCAAGAGAUUCUUCUUCCAGUUGUCUAAAAGAAAUAAUCUCACGCUGAAGUUCCGCCACUUUGGAGAUUGGAAAAUAUUUAGAAAGAAAACUACUAUAUAACUCCUUCCAAUCUCCAUGAACACUCCCUAUUUUGAGUUUGUACCAAUGUCUAGCUUUUCCCGUUAAAGAGAACAGAAAGAGCUUCCAUUUAAGGGUCUCAUCGGACAUUCCUUCUAUGCGAAGGAGGUCACAGACUCGAUAAAACUCUCUUAGGUGUGUGUAUGGGUUUUCAUCACCUUCUCCUGAGAAAGGUUGUUUUUGAACAAAUUCUAUGUAUUCGGGGUCUAUCUCAAAACUAGAUGCUAUGAUAGGCUUUGAAGAUUUUGGUGGUUCGAGAUGUGUGCCCGUAGGUCUAUGAAAUUCAUAGAUAGACAUGUUUGAAUUCAUGAUAGACCAGAGAUCAAGGAUUAGAUAAGAAGAAAGAUUAGCAGAGAUGAGACAAAGGAUAAAAGGAAAAUAUUUUUUUUUAUUUUUUUUAGAAAAUGAUUAAGCUAGUUCGUAGUCAACUCAGCAACCGUUUCCCCGGCAACGGCGCCAAAAAUGCUUGUUGACACUUGCUAACACCAUUUGAAUACUAGGUUGUCAUCCCCAGCAUGGCACUAGAGUGUACUAUGGUAUUUAUACGCACACAGAUAAUCCACAAGCGCACGGAUACCGUUGAAGCUUUUACCCGGUUAAAGGUUUUAUCGUAUCCAUAGGGAAACGGGAGAACUGAUCUACGCUCUAACUUAACCAAGAAAGAUAGAUAAGUGUAAAUAGGAAAGAUGGUAGAAUUGAAUAAGAACAAUAUUAAAGGUAAGAUAACAGUGAGUGAUAAUAUGGGAAUAGAGAGUAGAGCAAUUCUAGUAUAUGGGCGAUGGUAGCAGAAUAGAGAGGAUAACUAUGGUUUCUCUACUUCAAAGGAGUAUGUCUAUGUCUGGGACGAACCACGUGAUAAGAGUACACCACAAAGGAUGCUUAUCCUUAGGCCGAUAAACCCUACCCGUCCUGCUAACGAGAGGUGGACUACAGAGGACCAACGUAACUGUCACCUACGCGGCCUACCACAUGAUCCAGCUAGACAGGGGAUAUCCACAAGUAAUCUAGAUCUAAGCACCUCGCUUACACCUAUACUACAACUUUCACCUAUAGCGUCCUAUAGAUUAAAGUACUCAAAAGAGUUGUGAACCAGAACAUACAAGAUUAGUAAUUGCAUAAUGAAUUAGAAGUAGAUUACCAGAAUCAUCCCAUGAGCAAGCUUGAUUAGAGCUUGAUCAUGACGAAGUACAACCGGAGGAAGAACCGAUAGGCCGGCCUCUCCUCUAAUCCUCCUUCGCUCUCCAUCUUGCUACUAUCUAGAUCUACUCUAGUUUAGAGAAGAGAGGAGAGCUCUCAACUCUAAACCCUAGCUUUUGCUCUGUCAAUGAAUAAUGAAUAAUGAUCGAGGGGUGCCUCCUCCAGGGGCCAGGGGGUCUGGUUAUAUAGUCUUUUCAGAUGAAUCUAGGCCGUCGGAUCAAACCGACAUUGAUCGUGUGGUUUUCCUUGAAGUAUUAGGUCGGUGGAGCAUGAUCCGCGAAGUUGAAGCUGAUUGGUUACUGUAGCUGGGCGGGCACCCAAGGGACUUGGGUGGGCGCCCUGCGCCCGGGCCCGAUCGACCUCCCGUUCGUUCCCGUGGCUUCUGGAGUCUUCUAGAUGGUAGAAAAUUGCGCGACACGUUAAUAUCUCUAUGUAAACCCGACGUGUGGGCCUUUCUUUCAUAUUUCCUGAUAACCCCCUGCAGAAAUAGACAAACACCAAAACUCGUGGAAUUCUGUCGGAUAAAACACUAAGUUUAGAUGUAGGUUGUAUUUGGAUCCUUUUCUUUGUUUAUUUGCUUAUUAUAUUUGUUACUUAAGGACCAUCAACAAUGUACAGGAGUUGAAUUCAGGAAAUGUAGACACCAUCAUCACCGAAGCACCCCGGUAUGGAAGCCUCGAGUAGGCUAGCGCCAUACCCCUAUCGAGGCUUAUUCUAAUGCCUACACCCUGUAACCUAGGUCUCCCCUUGGAACUAUAAAAGAGGAUACUGAGGAUGACACGAGAGGAGAGAUAUACAACGCAACUCACAGAGCACAAUUCUCACACACCACCAUCGGCUAGGACUUAGAACUCUUAGCCACAUCCACUUGUAUUCACCGCUAUACAAGCACUUAGGUGCAAGAUAAUACAAAGUCUCCCCCCACUGGACGUAGGGCCUUCUCUUGACCGAACUAGGAAAAAUCUUUGUGUCUUUCUUGUAUCACCAUCCAGAAAAGGGAGCAUGCACACAAAUUCACUCGUUGGUGUCACCCCCUGGGGGCAAAACACCGACAGUUGGUGCGCCAAGUAGGGGUCCUGCGUGUUACCACCGACUUCCCAUCUCUUUCUGGAUGGCCACUCACGUCUCGCCGAUCCCACGCUCCAUGGUGAUUUGGUUUGGGAGCCUUGAGUUCAUGUCCACUGGCUUCGGCUAUGACAUAAUUCUGCUCUCAAUCAAAGGACCUGGAGAGGCUCGUGUCGCACCCACACGAUCAAAGGCUUCGAGACGGCCUCAACGCCACGCUUCCCCGCCCAAGAGGAGGCGUGGCCAGCAUCGCCACCGCCCCACCGCCGCUACAUGAUCAUCGCCUCAUACGGGACAGGCAACGGUGGAGGAGCCGAUAGCUCCACGUGCCGAGACCACAGUCACAACGGUUAGACACCAGAACAGCCGUGCGACGGCACCAGGGGGCAGCGUACCACACGCACCCUCACCAACAUCUGCGCUGCUACCUCAUGGUCUGUUCGCCACAAGGCAGAUGCUCCCGUUUGGCUUGGGCAAUGCCGCGACGUCGCUCGCCAGGGCAAUAUGUCCAGACGCCGAGACGUGCGUCAAGCGACCAUUGGUCCUCCCACGCAACACAGAGACAUGACAGCAGGCUUAGCUGAGCAUUUAGGUUUUCCCUAGAUACGCGGGCUUCGGCGCCUAGGACCUGGGCGAUACACCAUCGCCACGCUCAGGCAACAGCUGGCGGAGGAGGGGUGCGGAUGUUUCUACACCGCCGAGCCAGACCCCAAUUCUAAAUCCGAUAGCUACGACCCUACCAGGGAAUGCUUCAACAUCGACGGAGCCGUGGCCACUGCGGACGACACGGAGGAUGCCGCUGCCAGUGCCCGUGCUCCCGCUGCAGCGGGAGAUCCCAUGACACCUGGGAAUGACGGGUAGGCACACCCACUGCCUUAGGACGACAAAGCCAUGCAACUUGUGCAGCUAUGAGAGUUGAAAGCCAAGCUAGACGAGGAUCACGAGCACCUCAGCCAGCUCGAGCAGGCCCUCGAGCGAGACCAACCGCACCUGCACGGCGGGGGCGCGCGUGGUCGUGCUCGAGAAGUGUACCGACAGAUUGUCGAGGAUGAAGAACCUGAGCUGCUCGUCAGUCGCUUCCCUCAUGCCAGUCAGAACAUCAUGGCAGCGACCAUGCUGCUACGUAACAUGCCUGAGCCCUUGAACUCCCGGGCACGACCCAUUCAAGACGAGGUGCAGGGUCUGCUCCACGUGGUGGCAGCCCAACAAGCUGAGAGCUCAGCUUCUCGACGUCGAGGGGCAGCCAUGGAAAAGCGCGUUGAGCCAGCCCAAAACGAGAGGGAGGUAUCCGUUCAUCAGGAGCCGUCACCUCGAGGUAAGAAAACAGUACCCAUGCAGGAGUGCCUCAUCGAUAAUCAACGCCUGCACGAUGCUCGACAUGACAUCAACGAGCAUCGACGCUGCAGACAUGGAGAUGUCGAGGAGAGGGGGUAUAGCACCCACCAUGGCGGACGCUACGAUAGUGACAAAAUCGGAUGGCUCCAGAGCCACCGGGCCCUCGAGUCUUCAAUAGGGCGAUCCGCAACACGCCACAGCCAAGUCCGUUCUGACCCCCGACUAGCAUCACCAAGCAUAACGGUGAAACCAAGCCAGAGCUGUGGCUGGCAGACUUCCAGCUUGCAUGCCAGUUGGGAGGCACUCGAGGAGACGAUCGAGCCAUCAUCCGGCAGCUACCGCUCUUCCUCUCUGACACCGCUCGCAGGUGGCUUGAGGAGCUCCCCACCAACCAAAUCCACAACUGGACUGACUUGGUUCGGGUGUUUUAAGGGAACUUCAAGGGGACCUACAUACAACCUGGUAAUUCAUGGCACCUCAGCAAGUGCAAGAAGAAAUCUAGAGGAUCUCUCCAAGAGUAUGCUCGGCACUUCUCGAAGCAACGCACAGAGCUCCCACACAUCCCCAACCACGACGUCAUUCUGGCUUUUGUCUCAGGCACCACUUGUAACGAUUUGGUGCGAGAAUUGGGUCGAAAUCGUCCGCAGACCGUCGACGAGCUGAUGGACGUAGUGGUGAACUACGCCGCUGGCGAGGAGGCGAUCAACGCAUUCUUCAACCAUGAGAACAACAAGGGGAAGGUGCCAGGAGACAACGACGAGGGCCCUAGCAGGGGGCCCAAAAAGAACAAGAAUAAGAAGAAGACGUGGCAGAUCAUGCGGGAGGCCCUUGACAAUGAUUUCAUCGCCGAUGUCGAACGCAAGAAACCUUGAGGCCCCCCAGAGGGGGCCGUCUUCGACAAGAUGCUCAAGGAGCCCUACCCUUAUCACAAGGGAGGGGGCCAAUCACAAGCUCGAGGAUUGUCGCAUGCUGAAGAAGCACUUCGAUAGCCUGGGGCUAAAGAAGGACGACCAGAGGAGGGAUAAAAGCGACGACAAGGGCGAAAAUAAAAACGAUGAGGGGUUCCCCGCCGUCCAUGAUUGUUACAUGAUCUACGACGUGCCUUCGACACAACUCACCUCGAGACAGCGUAAUAGGGAGCGCCGCGUCUUCGCGGCAAGGAUGGCAGUGCCACAAUAUCUCAAUUGGUCGAGCACCCCCAUCACCUUCGACCGCGAUGACCACCUCGACAAGGUUGUCACUCCCGGCGUCUACCCGCUCGUCGUCGACCCCAUCAUCGUCAACACUCAGCUCUCGAAGGUGUUGAUGGACGGUGGCAGCAGCCUUAAUAUCAUCUACCUUGAGACCCUCAAUCUCCUAGGUGUUGAGAGAGCCUAGCUCUAGCCUAGCGCAGGCGGCUUCCAUGGUGUUGUACCAGGGAAGAAGGCAUUGCCGGUGGGUCGAAUCGACCUGCCGGUCUGUUUUGGCACGGCGGCCAACUUCAGGAAGGAAAUUCUCACUUUCGAAGUGGUGGGUUUUCGAGGCACUUACCAUGCCAUCAUUAGACGCCUAGGAUAUGUCAAGUUCAUGGCAAUCCCCAACUACACUUACCUGAAGCUGAAGAUGCCCGGGCCCAAGAGAGUUAUCACCAUCAGCUCCUCUUACGAGCACGCAUACGAAUGCGACGUUGAGUGCAUCGAAUACGGGGAAGCUAUCGAGAGCUCUGCCGAGCUUGCCUCAGGGCUCGAGGCCCUCGCCGCUGAGGCUCUAGAGCCUAAGCGCUGUGCGGGCAGCUUUGAGGCAGCAAAGGGCACGAAGAAAAUCCUGCUCAACCUCAACAGUUUCGACGACAGGGUGCUGACGAUCAGCACCGACCUCGACCCCAAAUAGGAAGCCAUGCUCGUCAACUUUCUCCGUGCAAACGCCAACAUGUUUGCAUGGAGUCCCUCGGACAUGCCUGGCAUACCGAGGGAAGUCACCGAGCACUCCUUGGAGAUUCGAGCUGGUUCCAAGCCUGUGAAGCAACGAUUGCGCCGCUUCGAUGAGGAGAAGCGCAAGAUCAUUGGCGAGGAGGUCCACAACCUUUUGACAGCCGAAUUCAUCAAGGAGGUUCAUCAUCCCAACUGGUUAGCAAACCCUGUAUUAGUUAAGAAAAAAAAUGGGGAAAUGAGGAUGUGUGUCGAUUAUACCAGUUUAAAUAAAGCAUAUCCUAAAGUUCCCUUUCCUUUGCCAUGCAUCGAUCAAAUUGUUGAUUCAAUAGCGAGAUGUGAAACCCUUUUGUUCCUUGAUGAUUAUUCCGGUUGCCAUCAAAUAAUAAUGAAAGAAUCUGACCAGCUUGCGACCUCCUUCAUCACGCCCCUUGGGAUGUACUGUUACAUAACUAUGCCCUUUGGGCUUCGAAACACCGGGGCGACGUACCAACGGUGCAUGCUCCAUGUUUUUGGAGAUCACAUAGGGUCGAUGGUCGAGGCAUACAUCAACGGCAUCGUCGUCAAGUCAAAGAGACAGGGCGACCUGAUUCAAGACCUCGAGAUCGCCUUUGGCUGUUUGCGCACGAAUAAAAUUAAGCUCAACCCCAAGAAAUGUGUCUUUGGCGUGCCUCGAGGCAUGCUUUUAGGGUAUAUAGUCUCCUAGUGCGGCAUCGAGGCUAACCCCGAAAAGGUCUUCGCUUUUGCCAAGAUGGGACCAAUUCAAGACGUCAAGGGCAUACAGAAAGUUACAGGCUGCCUGGCGGCACUGAGCAGUUUUAUUUCAAGGCUGGGGGAAAAUGCAUUGCCAUUGUACCGGCUCCUGAAGAAAGUCAAGCACUUCACCUAGACGAUCGAGGCUGAGGAUGCCCUCGACAUCCGAUCCUGGUGCCUCCUUGACCGGCAAAACCUCUGCUCCUGUACAUCGCGGCAACGACCUAGGUCGUUAGCGCGGCCGUGGUGGUCGAAAGGCCAGAGGAAGGGCAUGCGCUACCAAUUCAGCGGCCGGUCUGCUUCAUCAGCGAGGUGCUCUUAGAGACAAAGGUACGAUACCCCCAGGUUAAAAAAUUUAUUUAUGCUGUGAUUCUCGCCCGACGCAAGCUGCAACACUACUUUCUCGGCCAUCCGAUCGCGGUGGUCUUGUCCUUCCCGCUGGAUGAGAUCAUCCAGAAUCGAGAGGCCACUGGGAGGAUUGCCAAGUGGUCGGUCGAGCUCAUGGGGUAGACCCUCACCUAUGCGCCUCGCAAAGCCAUCAAAUCUCAGUCCAGUUUGUGUGUUUUUUCCCACUGUUUCCAUCAAUUUUUUUCUGAUCGAUUUUGAUAUAUGGAACAUCAAAAUCGGAGUUCGUAUGCGAAAGUUAUGGCUGUUUUACGAACGAACUCCGAAUUAGAGGACAAAACGGUCCGGAAGUAGGAAAAAAUUGUGGUGGUGGCUAGAAAUUGAUGGAAACAGUGUGAAAAACACACAAACUGGAUUCUAACAAGACCUAACCAGUAACAAGACCUCGACUAGGACACAAACUCAACACUACGAACUCUGAAACUGAAAUAUGCAAAGGCUAUGGCGCAGAUGGGUUGUAGGACAUGAAAACAAUAUGGCACUAGACUUAUGGGAUGAAUAUAAGAACACUCAAAACUAAGGGUAGAUGUGAACCUAACGGUAUGUCUGAAGCUUUGAUUACCACUUAAGGAGAACAAGUGUGGCCCGAUCUUCUGAAAGGUUCUCGUAACUAUCGAUUUGGUGGAAACGAGACACAAAUCAAUACAGCUUGCGAACAACAUGACCCGAAACCCUGCAAUUAUUUUUAUUUUUUUGAUAUUUUUCUUUUACUUAGGAGCACUCAAGAAGUAACCAAAGAAAAUUUGAGCUUAAACAAGUGAAAGACGUUGCCUUGUGGAAUUUUUUGAAGAUUGCGAAAAAUAUGAAAAAAAAUUAGGAGGUGAAAACUCAAACUUUAGAGGUGGUUUUUGGGAUUCUAAAUUUAUCGAACCCGCCUAUGGUGGGGAUAGACAGAUCCAAAAUUUUUUUGUGAUCGAUUUUGAUAUAUGGAACAUCAAAAUCGAAGUUCAUAUGCGAAAGUUAUGGCUGUUUUACGAAAGGACUCCGAAUUAGAGGACAAAACGGUCCAGAAGUGGGAAAAAAUUUUGCGGUGAUGGCUAGAAAAUGAUGGAAACGGUUGGAAAAAACACACAAACUGGACUCUAACAAGACCAUAAUAGUAACAUGAGCUCGACCAGGACACAAACUCAAAACUACGGACUCUAAAACUGAAAAAUGCAAAGGCUAUGGCGCGGAUGGGUUGUAGGACAUGAAAACAAUAUGGCACUAGACUUAUGGGACGAACACAAGAACACCGGGGCGACGUACCAACGGUGCAUGCUCCAUGUUUUCGAAGAUCACAUAGGGUCGACGGUCGAGGCAUACGUCGACGACAUCGUCGUCAAGUCAAAGAGACAAGGUGACCUUAUUCAAGACCUCAAGUUCACCUUUGGCUAUUUGCGCACGAAUAAAAUUAAGCUCAACCCCAAGAAAUGUGUCUUUAGCGUGCCUCGAGGCAUGCUUUUAGGGUAUAUAGUCUCCCAGUGCAGCAUCGAGGCCAACCCUGAAAAGGUCUUCGCUGUCGCCAAGAUGGGACCAAUUCGAGACGUCAAGGGCAUACAGAAAGUUACACGCUGCCUGGCGGCGCUGAGCCGUUUUAUUUCAAGGCUUGGGGGAAAAGGCAUUGCCAUUGUACCGGCUCCUGAAGAUAGUCAAGCGCUUCACCUAGACGAUCGAGGCUGAGGAAGCCCUCGACAAACUAAAAAGGACUACCGCUCCGAUCCUGGUGCCUCCUCGACCCGCAGAACCUCUGCUUCUGUACGUCGCGGCAACGACCCAGGUCGUUAGCACGGCUGUGGUGGUCGAAAGGCCAGAGGAAGGGCAUGCACUACCAAUUUAGCUGCCGGUCUGCUUCAUCAGUGAGGUGCUCUCAGAGACCAAGGUACGAUACCCCCAGGUUCAAAAAUUGAUUUAUGCUGUGAUUCUCGCCCGACGCAAGCUGCAACACUACUUUCUUGGCCAUCCGAUCACGGUGGUCUCGUUCGACGCCUCGAUGUUCGAGGUGACUCUCAGCUGGUCAUCGAUCAAGUCAUGAAAGCCUUGAGUUGCCAUGACCCAAAAAUGGAGGCUUACUGCAAGGAAGUACGCAAGCUUGAGGACAAGUUCCAUGGGCUCGAGCUCAUUCACAUCGCACGGCGAUACAACGAAACGACUAACGAGCUUGCCCAGAUCGCGUCCACUCGAGGCACUGUCCCACCAGACACAUUCUCAAAGGACCUGCUUAAACCAUUUGUCGACCUAGGCUCGGGGGCUAGCAUCGAAACCUCCACCGCCGAGCCCACUGACACAAUCGAGGCUCUACUGACGGCAGCAAAGGUAAUGGAGGUCGAGCAAACUCCUCAACACCCCGGUCGACCAUUUAACUGGUGCACGCCUUUCCUCGACUGCCUGAUUCGGGGCGAUUUACCAGAAGAUCAAGCUGAGGCCCGUCGUAUCGCUCGAUGGGCCAAAUCAUGCAUGAUCUAUGGCGAAAGCAAAGAGCUCUACCGAUGAAGCCCAACCGGGAUCUUGUAGCGCUGCAUCACUAUAGAGGAAGGUCGAAAGCUCCUCGAAGAUCUACACUCGGGGGCUUGCAGCCACCAUGCAGCUCCUGGAACCCUCGUAGGCAACGCCUUCCGACAAGGCCUCUACUGGCCAACGGCCGUCGCUGAUUCCAUCGAGCUUGUUCGCUCAUGCCAUGGGUGCCAAUUCUACACCAGCAAACUCAUCUCCCCGCUCACGCUCUACACAUGAUUCCCAUCACUUGGACGUUCGCGGUAUGGGGCCUCGACCUCAUGGGUCCACUCCAAAGGGCGGUGGGAGGAUACACCCACCUGUUGGUGGCCAUCCACAAGUUCUCCAAAUGGAUUGAUGCUCAACCCAUCACAAACAUUUGUUCCGAGCAGGCUAUCCUCUUCUUCACCGACAUAAUCCACCGGAUUGGGAUACCCAACGUCAUCAUCACCGACAAUGGCACACAGUUCACCGACAAAAAGUUCCUGUACUUCUGUGACCGACAUCACAUCCGUGUGAACUGGUUUAUAGUAGCUCACCCUCGGACCAACGGCCAGGUCGAACGUGCCAACGACAUGAUUUUGCAAGGGCUCAAACGCAGAAUCUACAACCGGUUGAAGAAGUUCGGCAAGAAAUGGGUCGAGGAGCUCUCUUUGGUCCUAUGGAGUCUAAGAACAACACUGAGCAGAGCCACGAAAUACACCCCAUUCUUCAUGGUCUAUGGCUCCGAGGCUGUGCUUCCAACAGACCUCGAGUAUGGGUCACCUCGACUCAAAGCCUACAACGAGCAGACAAAUAGGGAGACUCGAGAGAAUGCGGUCGACCAGCUCGAGGACGCUCGAGACAUGGCCCUCCUCAACUCGGCAAGGUACCAGCAGAAGCUUCGACGCUACCACGACAAGCACGUGCGCAUGAGAGGCCUGAACAUGGGCGACCUUGUCCUACGUCAACGGCAGAGCAAUUAAGGAUGCCACAAGCUGACUCCACCCUAGGAGGGCCCAUACAUGGUGGCUGAGGUCUUGAAGCGAGGAACGUACAAGCUCGCGGACGAAAAGGGGGCGAUCUACACCAACGCAUGGAAUAUCGAACAACUACGUCUCUUCUACCCCUAGAGCUUCGAGGCUUUACAUUUUCUUGCACAUCUUGUAUGACCGAUGCCCUGUGAAUAAAUAUGUGAAUAAACGAAAGUACUUUUAUGAGUAAUUCAUAUUAUUACCGGUUAAUCCCGAUGUUAGAGGAAGUCUUGACUAUGACCCAUCAUAGUCAACACUCCCUCGGGGCUAGCAGGGGGAAACCCCCCAGGCUUAAUGUUCUCUUUUCCCUUUCAAACCCUAAGAAAACUUAAUGUUCUCUUUCAAACUUAAUUUUUCAAAAGCUUAAUGUUCUCUUUUCCCUUUCAAACCCUAAGAAAACCCCACACGAUCGAGUAGUAAAGGCGCCUCGAGCCCCUUAAGGGCCGAGGGACGUCGAGCCUGAUAACUCCUACUCCUCCGGGCUAUGGUAACUCUAAUCACACCCUUACCCUCGAGGCAAUCGAAGUCGUCCGAAUGAAAGAUCGAUCGAGGAAGAUGAACUUAGGCAGCAAAGGAAAUAAAGGAAACUCGAGCAUAAAAGUAACAAGAAUAUAUAGAAACUACAAAUCUUAAGGCCGCUCAGGCCAUAAUGUUUAAAGCUAAGUAUAUUACAAUGGGUCUAAGUACCCAGAUCAGGCUCGCAGGCCUUAGUGUUCAUCUCUACCUUCACCGUUGUCUUCCGCGCCCACACCGGUCUCGGGAGAGAGUACCUCUGGCUCGAAUAGCUUCGCCAGCCUUUCACCAGGAACCUCUGCAUCGUCGAUCAAGGCAUGAAGCCUCUCCUCGUUCUCAGCAUCGGUCUUGCAGAUGUCGGUGAUGAAACUGUGGGACACCACCUCCAUAUCAUAGGAGAAGCCCGAGCAGACAACCGCCAUAGCCCGCUUCACCCCAGUAUGGAGUGCGUCCUGCACUCAGUCCUUCAAGGUGGCACCGAGGUAGCACAGCUGGUCGACCAAGGUGUCGCAUCGAGCCGCCUCCCCCGCCUUAUCUAUAGGCUCAAGCUCCCAAGAGGUCGAGAGGUCGUUGAUCGCCGUCCUUAGUCGACCAGUCAAGGCGACCUCCCUCUCAAGCUGAGCCUUAGAAGAUUGGGCGUCGACCUGGGCAGCCAGCAGAUCAUCCUUAAGCCCUAUAGAGAUCAAAAUAGGGGAUCAGAUAACGGAAAAGAAAACGAGAUCCAACAAAUAAAACACAACGAUAUGGAAGACUUACCGUGGAUCUUCUCCUCAAGAGCCAUAUUUUCACCAACCAGGUCGGUGUUGGUCCUCUCGAUCUUCUUAAAGGAAUGGGCCAGCUCCGUCUUCUCGACCCGUAGGUCCUCGAUUAGCUUGCCCGACCCUAGGAUAGCUUCUUCUUUCUCUAGCAGCGCUUUCUUUAGACGAUCAAUGUCGUUAGAAAGGCCGCGAGAGCGGGUUCGCUCUGCCUCGAGGUCCUCAUGAGCCUUCCUCUUGGCCUCCUCUAUGGUGCCUCGAGCGAUUUCACUCUUCAGGAGUGCCUCCUUUACCCUGCCAUAAGCGCUUCGUGCGGCGGCAAGGUCUGACUCGACGAGCCUCUUUCCUUUGUCCAGCUCGAUGGCCUUGUCCUUAUACCGCGCAGCCUCCUCCCAGGCCUUGGCAGCCGCCUCCCCGGCCGAGACAGCCAGCUCCUUCGACUGGGCUGCUUCAUCCUUCACCUUCUCCACAGCCUCUCGAGCAACGCGGGCGACCUCCUCUGCCUGGGAAACCUUACUGUCCAUAUUAGACAAGGUCUUCCGAGCAUCGGUCAGAGCGGCCUCCUUCUCCUUCUUCUCCUCCAGAGCCGUUGUAAGAUCCUUAUAUGCCUUAAGGAGCUUUUCUUGCAACUCGAGGAGUUGAUCCUUGAGAAGAGGGAGCUGCUCUCAACCACCCCUCGUCGCAUGAAUGAAGCCCGAUUUCAGCCGGGAGGUCUCUUUCAAGUCCUGCAAUAAAACACGAGGUGAUAAGAGCCCUAGUUCAAUGAAAAUUCCAAGUAACGAGAGUCUAGAGAUCCUCACAAAGAAAUCCUGGCCUAGGCUGUUGUUGAUGAUGUCAGACAUGAGGCCCACGACAUGCUUCAUCCAGAGACAAAGCUCUUCGAGGUGCUCCCACUUCUCUACCUCCUUCCGAUCGUCCAUCAUGUUAUUGGGCUCGUUCGGAGACGUGGAGGCUCAAAGGCAGAUCCUUCCUGGACCACAGUGCUCGAGCUCUUCCUCCGUGCGUGCCUUGAUGCCCCGGAUAAGCUCUUGCACCAUUUCAAGUGAGCCCCCAUGGCGUAGAAACAAAUCGAUAAGAGAGGGGAAUCGCCCAUUAUCAUCGAUGGACUUCCAGGUCCCGGUCUCAUCUGCCUCGCUGCCGCCAGAAGUCCUAGCUUCAUCUUCCCCACUGGCGCCAGAGGUUCCAGCCACAUCUUCCCAUGGUCACCGACCCUCUAGGAAGGCCGGGGCGAUCCCCUUGAUGCCGUAGAGGGAGCCCUUAAUCUCCGAGCUUGGAUCUGUCGGCGUGCGCAUGGCGAGCGCCAGCGCCAUGAGACCGUCCUCCUGUCGUGGCUCAGCUAGGAUGGUGACAGGGCCCCCAGGACGAAGCCACGAGGGAGUCGCGGGACCGUAAACUGGUGGCUCCUCCUCCCCUGUCUCGGGCCUCUGCCCCUCCUCGAGCUGCUGCUGCUGCGGGUGCUGUGGUUGCUGUUGCUCGGGGAACUCCUCCAACUGUCGCUGCUACAGUUGAAGCUCCUACAGCUCUUGCUGUCAGUGCUGCUCUAGCUGUUCCUCGAGCUGCAAAUGCUCCCCCUGCUGCUCCUGCGCCUCUUGCUGUUGUUGCUGUUGCUGCUCCAAUAGGCGUCGCUGCUCCCCCUCUUCCUCCUGUUUUUUCUUUUCCUCUUCCCUCCUCUUCUAUUGCUCCUCCCUGUUCUUCCUCUUCUUUGUAACACCCUAGGUGUUAACCAUGCACUUAGUCUCAUAAACCCUCUCAUAAGCAUUCUCAUCAAGCAUAGCAUAAGCAUAGCAUCACAUGAGCAUGGCAUUAAUUCAAGUGUGAUUUUAUGUGCUUAAAUUAUAUGAUAAAAAUGGUAUGCUUGUUUCCAAAAUUCUUGUGAUGACCAAAAUAUGUUGAAAUAUAUUUUAGAAUAAUUAAGAAUAAUUUUGUGAACUUUUUUGGAGCUAUAGAAAUUGAGAAAUGGAUUUUAUACAAAAAGUCCCAAAAUGAAUUUAUUUAAAACCUAGAACUAGUUUUGAGUUGUAUUUCAAAUUCUAUUGGGAAUUUGGAAUUUCAGGCUGAAACAAAGUUGUAGAACUUUUUAUUUGUGACAAAUUUUGUUUUGGGGGCCAAAGCUGAAAAAGGUUUUAAAUUUGUGAAGAUGAGUUUGGAAAAUUAUUGGAGAAAAGAAAUUCAAAAAAAAGGGGAGGGGGUAGGCGCGUGGCCCAGCUCAGCCGCGUGGCCCAGCUCCCCCGCCCCUCUCCCGCGCGCGGACGCGUCCGCUUCGCUCCACCCGGCGCUGGCCACGUGGCGACCGUACGCUCAGCCACGUGGCGUCGUGGACACGGUCGGGACGCCACCCCGCGCCUCCAGACGCCCACUCUGUCCCCUCCCCGCUCCCUCUCCUUCUCCACUCGCGAGCGCAGCAGCAGCAGCGACCGCUGCGGCGCCAUUGCUGGCCCAACUCCGCCACUCGCCGCCGGCCAUGUCAGUGAGCCAUUGUCCACGCCAAGGCCAACGACGUGUUCGUCUUCGCCGCGGUAAGCCCCUGCGCACGCUCUACCGAGGUGAAAGCCAUCAGCGAGCCCGCAAUCACCCGUCGGAGUUCACCCGACCUCGUCGGAGUGCUCCGCCGCGCCGAAACCCUCCCGUUUCUGCCUCGUUUCGCUUGUUCUUGAGUGUGUUAGGUUCGGGACGUGGUGAGGAAGCUCAGACGAUCCCCCGCACGCGCUCUACCCCGCCGGAGUGGUCUAGCCAUGGCGAGCAGCGCCGCCGUGCCGCCAUGCAAGCCAGCAGGGGUGCUCCGGCCGUCCUCCAACCAAACCAAGGGUACCCUUGGGUGCGCCUCGCUGUGCUCACCCCGUGGCCGGAGACCUCACCGCCGACGAGAUCCGCUCGUCGGAGGUGCUCUCCCUCUCGGUCACAUUGACCAGUGGGGUCGGGGGCCCACUGUCAGCUGCAAGGGGACCGAGGCGGGUAGAGACCUGGGUGCUCCUAGCGUUUUUCAGUGCGGAAUUGAUAUGGAUUUACAGAAAAUGUUUUCCAGAAAAUGAUUUAAAUGGUAUUAAAUCUAUAUCUUGAGAUGCAUAGCUCCAAAAUUGGUGAAAUAAAUUUUGAUGUGCUCUAUAAUUCUAGAUCUACAGUUUGGUACGGUUGCAUGUCAUAUUUGUACAACUUUUCUGUACAAAUGUAUUUAAUCCAUGUUUUUGCUGAUAAUUAGAAAAUGCAUAGUAAUUAAAAUAUAACUCAGAAAAAUAUGAAACUUGUUUUCUUAGCUCUGCAUGGAUGUUUAGUUUCUAGGAAAAAUAUGUCACAUAUUAUUUGCUGUAUAAAUUAAUUUAUAAUUAUUUAAAUGCUUGCAUGGCAAUGGUUUAUGAUUUUUUAUAAAUAAUUGGAUCAUGCAAUUAAUCUGGAAAUUUUUGUGGGUGUUUCUUAUUAUAGUAAGUAAUUUAUAAAAAUAUGAAAUAUGUUGUUUGACACUUCAUCAUCAGUGGGGUAAUUAUACCUACUAUAUAAAAUAAACUUGUGUUUUUGUGUGGGCUAAACUAUCUGUCCAAAUAUUAUGAAAAAUUUGUGGUAGACUUUAUAUUUGACUAGUGCUCCACUAUAAUUUUUGUGGAAUUUAUUGAUGACCAGAAGUACAUGCUACUGUUGUAGGUCCAAUAAUAAUUAAAUAAAUUAUACCUUGUUGUGUAUGAGAUAAAUAGAUUAAAGGGUGUUUGGUUUAUCUUUGAAGCAUCAUGGUAGCUUGCUGGUUAACCAUGAAAACAACUUGUAGAAGAGAAUGCAAUAGAUGCUUAUUUUGUUUGCAAGUCCUUGGAUGAUGUUGACUACCUUGAAGAAAUAAUCACCUAUGUCGUCUAUGCACCAUGUCAUGAUCACCCUGUCUUCACUUGCAUAAGCAUUGCAAAAGCAUUGCACCCCGGGCAUCUCGCACUCCACUCAUGAGCACACAUGCAUCAUACAGGCUCGCAGGAGAACGAGGUGGGACCCGAGGAGCAGGAGGAGACCCAGGAGUAGGAACUUCCGGGAGGACCAGAGCCGGAAGGAGAGCUGCAGGAGUGCCCGGACCACAGGCCUAGCACAAGAAAGGCAAGCCCCAGAGCAUUCUAAGUCUCCCUAUUCUCGCUAACUUAAUUAAUCUACUAUGGUUGUUCUACUAUGCUGCAUUUAAGUGAUAGGAAUCGCUUGAUACCGUUGAUGCAUAUUUACUCCUUGAUAUCACCACCUGUUUAUCUACCUUGUCCUAUGUAGAUAGGCUCGGAGUCUAUGCUUAGCUUGCUUAGUGUGGUAGAAGUCGGGUGAUUUCCUAUCACCUGCGAGAUAUAGGUGGACACCUGAAAGUUAGCUGUCAAUGCUAUGAUGAAAAAUAACCAAGUGUGGGAAUGAACUUAAGACCGGGCAGGGUCUUAUGGUGUUGUUAGCCGUAGUGCCCCUGCCUGUAUCGAUUAAGGACCGCUCGUUGAUGGCCCACUUGUCAUGUUGAACGCAUGCCCCACACUUAGCUGGAAGGAUAAGUCGUUCCGACCGCGAAGCCUGAACACUAUCCGGGCCAGGAGUCAAGCCACCAUGCGCUGUAUUGGUGAUGGUUGAGGAGAACGACGAGGGCACAACACGCAACCUGCUGGGUAUUUUAAACGCAAACAGAAAAAUUCGUAAGCGCACGGAUACCGAUGUAGCUUUCACCCGGGAGUAUUCCAGAGUAUCGAUUUUCCACAGAGAACGUGAGUGUACUAAUUAAGAAUCAAGAUCGCCCAAGGAUAACUAUAUAAUUAUUUUUGGUGGGAAGUGAGGAAGUUUCGUGAGAGUUCUCUAGUUGAUCUAAGAAUCAAGAAUUACUUCAAAGAUUAUUUAUAUCGGGACAUCAGAGCACUAACCACAGAAAGAGAUGAGAAGGGGGCUAGGAAGGUCUGACUACGGUCCUACAAACACCGAUCCGAACGAGGUGGAAUAUGUCGACCGUUAGGGUUGUCACUACCCUAGGGCUACCACAACAAUCCGCAGGAUUGGGUGCAAUUCCACGUAAUUGCAAGACUAAACACCACGUCGAAUCUAUUAAUUACUACUCUAAUAUUUCAAAGAUUAGAGCACUUGAUGCAAGCGGAAAUCCAAUAAAUAACUUGAAUGUAAAUAAAAGUAAUUAAAGAACUCAGGAAUUAUGAAUUGAAGAACCUGGAGAACGAUGAAGAACGAACCAGUUGCUGCAAAAGUACAAUGUUGAGGAAGAUUCGACAGAUCCGGCUCCUCCUCCGCUCUCCUCUUCUCUCUCCCUAUUUUCUAGAUUACAACUAGAACUAACUAGAACUAGAACUAGAACAAGAACUAGAUGAACUAGAACUAGAUCUAGAUGAAGUAGAUGUAGAACUAGAAGAACUAGAGGGAUCCUCUCUACUUGGAUGAAGAAUUGAAACCCUAACUUUGAUUCUGUAGAAGAGGUAUGAUCUCCAGGGGCCAGGGGGUCUGGUUUUAUAGUCCCUUCAAGUGAAUACUUUGAUUCUGUAGAAGAGGUAUGAUCUCCAGGGGCCAGGGGGUCUGGUUUUAUAGUCCCUUCAAGUGAAUAUGGGCCGUUGGAUCAAACCGACAUUGAUUGAACGGUUAUCCUUGAUCCUUUAGGUCGGUCGAGAUUGAUCCCGAAAGAGAGUCCUGUUUGGACUCUAGGAGGGGGCGGGCGCCCAGGUCAACUGGGCGGGCGCCCAGUGCCUGGCCCCGUUCGGCCUCCACUUCCUUCUCGUGGCUUCUGGAGUCUUCUAGAUGGCAGAAAAUUGCGCGGCACGUUAGUAUCUCUAUGUAAUCCCGACGUGUGGGCCUUUCUUCCGUAUUUCCAGAUAACCCCUGCAGAAAUAAACAAACACCAAAACUCGUGGAAUUCUGUCAGAUAAAACCCUAAGUCUAGGUGUUGGUUGCAUUUGGAUCCUUUUCUAUGAUUAGUUGAUGGUUAAAUGGGAGCAUUAAGGACCGUCAACAAGCUCCCCCAAGCUUAACCUUUGCUCGUCCCUGAGCAAAGAUGAACUGAUGAGUUUCUGCAGUGGUUUUAUGUCUUAAAGAUAUACAUGCGUUCAAACAAGAUCUCAUCUCUAGGUUAGGGUAAACUGUUAAGAUUUAAACUUACUCAGUGUACCUUCCACCAUGGGGCUUGCAACCGUUACUUGUGUCUUGAGCAGUUAAAAGAUAGAACGGUCUAGUCAAGCGCCAUGUCUCUUGUUCUUUGAUUAACUAUAACUCUAGAGUUUUUGCAGAUUUUCAAAUAAAACUCAGAGAUUCCUUGUAUGACUCUCUCUAGUCUCUCUUUUGUGGUAUUUCUAGAUCCUUUCCAACGCAGUAAUGAUAUAUGCCUUCUCUGAAAGUAUGUAGUAUUUGUGGUAUGAGGCAUAGUGACAUUGCCUUCUCUCUCACCCUACUCUAAUAAGGCUUUUGAUAUGUGGAGCUCAUAGGUGGGAGAGAGCUAAUAUAUACUUACAAGACAUUUAUUGCAUAGUCAAACCAUGGAUCCAGAAGAACAACUCAAUAAGUCAAAUCAAGAUGUGCAUGUGUGGCGAAUGAAUGGUGUAUGGUGAUGAUGGUGAUAAUGGUGAAAACAAUGGUGAAAGUCUAAUUCUACUUUUGCUCUUUUGUGGGGAUGUAUACCUUCCUUGCUCUUUUGAAACUUUUGGGGAGAAUGAGAUGCUCUGUAUUUUCUUUUUCUUUCCUCUUAGGUGGGUAUCUUGUACCCCUAAUUCUACUGUCGGACACUUGUCCAUUUUUACCUCUCGUCUCACUUUUUUUUUCUUUUCUUUCGAGGUUCCAGGCACUUGCCCCUUUUUAUUUCCUCGUAUCCUUUUUUCUCUCUUUUUUAGAGCACUCAUCUCUUGAAAUAAUGUAGCAAGUGGUAGUAACCAAGAUAACUUGAGCAUUAUUUCACAGGGAAAAAUAGAAAUAUUUUUGGCUAUUCUCUCCCGGAUUAGGAGUAGAAUACUUUUGGGUGGUUCUGGAGAUGGAAAUGGAUGGAUAUAUGUGGAUGUGUACUUCCGAAGUAGAAGCAGCAUGUAUGAGUGAACGUGCAAGUGAAUCUUGAUUUUAACCACAUGACAAGCUCCUAAGGGUCUACACAGCUUGACCACACUCAAUGCUCAUAAGUAGUAAAAAGUAAAUGUGUGGCUCAAAGUCUAGCAAGCAUGUAUAUAUGGCUGUGGUAGGAAUUUAAACUCUCAUCAUACAGGAACUCAUCAUGCAACAUUUUAAAGAUUUUCAAAGAUAAAAUUCUCUAGAAUUCUAGCAUCUCUAGGAACAGAUAAACAGCAGCUCAACCUUCCCAUAUCGUAUCCGUUAACGUCUUAGACUUUAGAUCAAGUACUCUUCCCACAAGUUCAGGUUUAGAGCAAAUCUUAAUUAAUAACAGUCAUGCCUAAACUUGAGAGAGAUUUCAAUUUUGAGAACUAGUCAUGGCAGAGCAACUAUUCAUCAUUUCCAUGUGAGAGCUUAUCGUGUUGGUUCAUAGCAAACUUUAUUUAUUUAUUUAUUUAGCAAACUAAGCAAAGAUAUAUAUAUAUAUAUAUAUAUAAGAACAAAAUCUUUAUUUAGGUUUUUAUGAUUAUGCAUCUUUUUAUUAUUUAAGUAAAGUAUAAAUAUGAGUAGAAUACUUAGCUGGAUAAAUGGAGGUGCUCUCCCCCAAGCUGGAUUUUGACGUAGUUUCUCCUGAUGUAGCUAGCAGGUGGCGGAGGUGUAUUUGAAUGUCGGCAGCACUCUAACAGCGAUUAGGAUGUCCUCCGUCUACCAGUCUUCUUUGAUCCUUGAAUUCUGUGGAGCUCAAAUAGACAACAAAACUUUGUGGAACUAGUUAAGUGUUAGCAUAAAUAUUUAGCCUUUAUCCUGUCGAGCCUCCUCAAUAAAUGUUACACUCUUUUGUAGGAUCAUAAAUUUAUUUUUGUAAUUUUAUUUUUAUAGGACAGGAAUAUAUUUAUUUCAUUUUUACGCCACCACAGUGAAUGUACUUAUGGGUUUUAUGCCAUUAGCAUACUCACAUGGGGCUUACUAUUUUAACAUUUUUUUUUUCAAGAUGAUAUGAACCUGAUUAACUAAGCAAACUAUUUUAAGUAAUUGAAAGAAAAAAAAAGAUAACUACCAAGUUUACCUCUUGGCAAGGCGUUCGGUGUUUUUAAGUCCUCCGAACGGGACUCUCCAUUUUCUCAGUCGUCCUGGGAUUUGCUGGAUGGCGUAGUCGGUGGUUCCAGCGGCGCCUGGUCUUCAUGUAUAACUAUCUUCUCUCUCCACAUCUGACUCGGUGCUACGGUCUCCUCAGGAUAGUUUUGUUCAAGUUGUAUGUCUUCAGACCUUACAACUUCUCCUUCAUAGUCUGCCCAACUGUCCUUGAUGAUUUGCCUCCUCUGGUUGUGGUUGCGUCGUCUUCUUCUUGUCCUGACCUGCUUAGAGUCUUUAACUAUAUAGUUAGAGUGAGUAAAAUAGCGGCGUACCUUCUCAGAGGGGAAAUGCAUGUGGACUUCUCUGGUUCCAAUGUAGAUGAUUGCUUUAACGGUGUUGAGGAAUGGUCUUCCAAAGAUGACGGGUGGAUAUAAUUCGUCUUCUCCCAUGUCAAUAACCUUAAAAUCAUCUGGAGCUGAAUGUAUGUUGGUUGUAGGGGCAUGGUUCCAUGCAGGAGCUGAUAAGUGACUGCGGCCAUUAUGUUGACGUCAGAUCCAGUGUCGUAGAGUGUCUUCUGAAAAGAAUAUCCGUUGAUUGUGCAUUCAAUGCUUGGAACACCUGGGUCGUCCUUUUUUGUCAGGAAUGGUGACUUAAAUCGACAAUCUUGACCUCCUUGAACUGCAGUGACCAUCUUAGCUAACUUGGUCCACAUUUGCUUGUUCCUGUCCCUCCUGUUGGUCCUCUUCCUUGGUUCAUGUCGGGAAUGCUUUGAGAUUUGUGUAGUCUUGUUCUCGAAGGAAAACGUCUCCUUCCUCCCCUUGAUGUAGAAACUGAUCUUGGCAGCACUAGCAUAGAUGACAGCUCCUGAGGUGUUCAGGAAUGGCCUCCAUAGGAUGAUGGGUGCCCUCCCAUUAGUACCAGUCUCUAUCACCACGAAGUCUGUUGGGGCGUACAAGGUACCAACUCAGACACAGAGGCUCUUCAUUACUCCCUUUGGGAAACUUAGCGUACGAUCUGCAAGCUGCAAACACAUGGCUGUCUAAUAAAGGAUGUGUAAAGAAUUUUUCAUAGAGUACCCUAAGCAUAAUGUUGAGGCUGGAGCCAAAGUCGCAGAGUGCUUCUGGGAAGUCCACUAUGCCGACGGAGAUCGGGAUGACGGGGCGUCCUGGAUUGUCUCUGAGUAGUUUGGCCUCUGUUAAUUCCAACCUUGAUUUUGUCGAGGACGGUUGUAGUAGUAGUUGUUGUUGAAGUAGUUUACGUUCUCAAGCAUCUCAGGGCAGUGAUUGCCUGAGUGUCCAGUAUCUCCAGUGUGUUUUGCUCGUAGAUCUAGAUUCUUCACUUGGUGGAGUCUGGGAGUUGUAAAAUUCCUUCAUAUUUUGCUCGAAGUGUACCUGCUCAUUGUUGGGUAUUUUAAACGCAGAUAGAAAAAUCCGCAAGCGCACGGAUACCGAUGUAGCUUUCACCCGGGAGUAUUCCAGAGUAUCGAUUUUCCACAAAGAACAUGAGUGUACUAAUUAAGAUCCAAGAUCGCCCAAGGAUAACUAUAUAAUUAUUUUUGGUGGGAAGAGAGGAAGUUUCCUGAGAGUUCUCUAGUUGAUCUAAGAAUCAAGAAUUACUUCAAGAUUAUCUAUUUCGGGACAUCAGAACACUAACCAAAGAAAGAGAUGAGAAGGGGGUUAGGAAGCUCCGACUACGGUCCUACAAACACCGAUCCAAACGAGGUGGAAUACGUCGACCGUUAGGGCUAUCACUACCCUAAGGCUACCACAACAAUCCGCAGGAUUGGGUGCAAUUCCAGGUAAUUGCAAGACUAAACACGACGUCUAAUCUAUUAAUUACUACUCUAGCGUUAUAAAGACUAGAGCACUUGAUGCAAGCGAGAAUCCAAUAAAUAACUUGAAUGUAAAUAAAAGUAAUUAAAGAACUCAGGAAUUAUGAAUUGAAGAACUUGGAGAAUGAUGAAGAACGAACCAGUUCCUACAAAAGUAUAAUGUUGAGGAAGAUCCGACAGAUCCGGCUCCUCCUCCGCUCUCCUCUUCUCUCUCCCUAUUUUCUAGAUUACAACUAGAACUGACUAGAACUAGAACUAGAGGAACUAAAACUAGAACUAGAUGAACUAGAACUAGAUCUAGAUGAACUAGAGGUAGAACUAGAAGAACUAGAGGGAUCCUCUCUACUUGGAUGAAGAAUUGAAACCCUAACUUUGAUUCUGUAGAAGAGGUAUGAUCUCUAGGGGCCAGGAGGUCUGGUUUUAUAGUCCCUUCAAGUGAAUAUAGGCCAUUGGAUCAAACCGACAUUGAUUGAACGGUUAUCCUUGAUCCUUUAGGUCGGUGGAGCAAUAUCCCGAAAGAGAGUCCUGAUUGGACUCUGGUUGAGGGCGGGCGCCCAGGAAAGGAGGGCGGGCACCCUGUCCCUGAGUCCUCUCGGCCUCCGCUUCGGUCCCGUGGCUUCUGGAGUCUUCUAGAUGAUAGAAAAUUGCGCAGCACAUUAAUAUCUCUAUGUAAACUCGACGUGUGGUCCUUUCUUCCGUAUUUCCUGAAAACCCCCUGCAGAAAUAGACAAACACCAAAACUCGUGGAAUUCUGUAAGAUAAAACCCUAAGUCUAGGUGUUGGUUGCAUUUGGAUCCUUUUCCAUGAUUAGUUGAUGGUUAAAUAUGAGCAUUAAGGACCGUCAACAAGCUCCCCCAAGCUUAACCUUUGCUCGUCCCUGAGCAAAGAUGAACUCAAGAGUUUCUGCAGUGGUUUCAUGCUUUAACGAUACACAUGCGUUCAAACAAGAUCUCAUCUCUAGGUUAGGGUAAACUGUUAAGAUUUAAACUUUCUCAUUUUUCCUUUCACCAUGGGGCUUGCAACCGUCACUUAUGUCUUGAGCAGUUAAAAGAUAGAAUGGUCUAGUCAAGCGCCAUGUCUCUUGUUCUUCGAUUAACUAUAGCUCUGGAGUUUUUGCAGACUUCCAAAAAAACUCAGAGAUUCAUUGUAUGACUCUCUCUAGUCUCUCAUUUGUGGUAUUUCUAGAUCCUUACCAAGGCAGUAAUAGUGUAUGCCUUCUCUUAAGUAUGUGGUAUUUUUGGUAUGAGGCAUAGUGGCAUUGCCUUCUCUCUCACCCUACUCUAAUAAGGCUUUUGAUAUCUGGAGCUCAUAGGUGGGAGACAGCUAAUACAUACUUACAAGACAUUUAUUGCAUAGUCAAACCAUGGAUCCAGAGAAACAAGUCAAUAAGUCAAAUCAAGAUGUGCAUGUGUUGCGAAUGAAUGGUGUAUGGUGAUGAUGGUGAUAACAAUGGUGAAAGUCUAAUUCUACUUUUGCUCUUUUGAGACAAUACAUACCUUUCUUGCUCUUUUGAAACUUUUUGAGGAGAAUGAGAUGCUCUAUAUUUUCUCUUUUUUUUCUUUCAGGUGGGUAUCUUGUACCCCUAAUUCUACUAUCGGACACUUGUCCAUUUUUACCUCUCGUCUCACUUUUUUUUUUGAGGUUCCGGGCACUUGCCCCUUUUUAUUUCCUCGUAUCUUUUUUUCUGUUUUUUUUGGAGCACUCAUCUCUUAAAAUAAUGUAGCAAGUGGUAGUAACCAAGAUAACUUGAGCAUUUAUUUCACAGGGAAAAACAGAAAUGUUUUUGGCUAUUCUCUCCCGGAUUAGGAGUAGAAUAUUUUUAGGUGAUUCUGGAUAUGGAAAUGGGUGGAUAUAUGUGGAUGCGUACUUCCGGAGUAGAAGCAGCAUGUGUGAAUGAACGUGUAAGUGAAUCUUGAUUUUAACCACAUGACAAGCUGCUAAGGGUCUACACAGCUUGACCACACUCAAUGCUCAUAAGCAGUAAAAUGUAAAUGUGUGGCUCAAAGUCUAGCAAGCAUGUAUAAAUGGCUGUGGUAGGAAUUUAAACUCUCAUCAUACAGGAACUCAUCAUGUAACAUUUUAAAGAUUUUCAAAGAUAAAAUUCUCCAGAAUUCUAGCAUCUCUAGGAACAGAUAAACAGCAGCUCAACCUUCCCAUAUCAUAUCCGUUAACGACUUAGACUUUAGAUCAAGUACUCUUCCCACAAGUUUAGGUUUAGAGCAAAUCUUAAUUAAUAACAGUCAUGCCUAAACUUGAGAGAGAUUUCAAUUUUGAGAACUAGUCAUGGUAGAGCAACUAUUCAUUAUUUCCAUGUGAGAGCUUAUCAUGAGGGUUCAUAGCAAACUUUAUUUAUUUAUUUAUUUAGCAAACUAAGCAAAUAUAUAUAUAUGAGAACAAAAUUUUUAUUUGGGUUUUUAUGAUUAUGCAUCUUUUUAUGAUUUGAGUAAAGUAUAAACAUGAGAAGAACACUUAGCUGGAUAAAUGGGGUUGCUCUCCCCCAAGCUGGAUUUUGAUGUAAUUUCUUCUGAUGUAGCUAGCUGGUGGCGGAGGUGUAUUUGAAUGUCGGCAGCACCCUGACAGUGAUUAGGAUGUUCUCCGUCUGCUAGUCUUCUUUGAUCCUUGAAUUCUGUGGAGCUCAAAUAGACAACAAAGCUUUGUGGAACUGGUUAAGUGUUAGCAUAAAUAUCUAGCCUUUAUCAUGUUGAGCUUCCUCAAUAAAUGUUACUCUCUUUAGAAGGAUCAUAAAUUGAUUUUUAUAUUUUUAUUUUUUUAUAGGACUGGAAUAUAUUUAUUUUAUUUUUACGCCACCACAGUGAAUGUACUUAUGGGUUUUAUGCCAUGAGCAUACUCACAUGGGGCUUACUAUUUUUUAACAUUUUUAUUUUCUUUUCAAUAUGAUAUGAACCUGAUUAACUAAACAAACUAUUUUAAAUAAUUUAAAGGAAAAGGAUAACUACCAAGUUUACCUCUUGGCAAGGCGUUCAGUGUUUUUAAGUCCUCCGAACGGGACUCUCCAUUUUCUCAGUCGUCCUGGGAUUCGCUGGAUGGCGUAGUCAGUGGUUCCGGCGACGCCUCCUCUUCCUGUAUAGUUAUCUUCUCUCUACACACCUGACUCGGUGCUACGGUCUCCUCAGGACAGUUUUGUUCAAGCUGUAUGUCUUUAGACCUUACUACUUCUUCUUCAUAGUCUACCCAUCCGUCCUUGAUGAUUUGCCUUCUCUGAUUGCGGUUGCGUCGUCCUCUUCUUGUCCUGACCUGCUUAGAGUCUUCAACUAUAUAGUUAGGGUUAGUAAAAUAGCGGCGUACCGUCUCAGAGGGGAAGUUCAUGUGGACUUCUCCGGUUCCAAUGUAGAUGAUUGUUUUAACGGUGCUGAGGAACUGUCUCCCAAAGAUGAUGGGUGGAACGUACUCAUCUUCUCCCAUGUCAAUAACCUUAAAAUCCUCUGGAGCUGAAUGUAUGUUGGUUGUAGGGGCAUAGGUUCCAUGCAGGAGCUGAUAAGUGACUGCAGCCAUUAUGUUGACGUCAGAUCCGGUGUCGCAGAGUGUCUUCUGAAAAUAAUAUCCGUUGAAUGCGCACUCGAUGCUUGGAACACCAGGGUCGUCCUUCUUGAUCAAGAAAGGCGACUUGAGUUGACGAUCUUGACCUCCUUGAGCUGUAGUGACCAUCUUAGCUGACUCAGUCCAUAUUUGCUUGUUCCUGUUCCUCCUGUUGGUCCUCUUCCUAGGUUCAUGUCGGGAUUACACUGAGACUUGUGUAGUCUUGUUCUUGAAGGAAAACGUCUCCUUCCUCCCAUUGAUGUAGAAACUGAUCUUAGCAGCACUAUCGUAGAUGACAGCUCCUGAGGUGUUAAGGAAUGGCCUCCCUAGGAUGAUGGGUGCCCUCUCAUCAGUACCAGUCUUUAUUACCAAGAAGUCUGCUGGGGCGUACAAGGUACGAACUUGGACGCAGAGGUUCUUCAAUAUUCCCUUUGGGAAACUUAGUGUCCGAUCUGCAAGCCUGAGCAUAAUGUUGAUGCUGGAGCCAAAGUCGCAGAGUGCUUCUAGGAAGUCCACCAUGCCGAUGGAGAUCGGGAUGACGGGGCGUCCUGGAUCGUCUCUCUUGACCGGCAGAAGGUCAGUAAUUACAUCCACAACGGGGUUACUCCAGUAGUUAUGUCCUCAAGCAUCUUAGGGCAGUGAUUGCCUGAGUGUCCAGUAUCUCCAGUGUGUUUGUGCUCGAGAUCUAGGUUCAUCACUUGGUGGAGUCUGGGAGUUGUAAAAGUCCUUCAUAGUUUGCUUGAAGUGUACCUACUCAUAGAGACAAGGCAGAGAUCAAGUGCAUGGGCUCUGUUGGUGGAAAACACCAACAGAACCAAAAGUGUAUUUAUUCUUCUCUAUCCUUAAGCAUAGUGAGCAAGACAAAGUUGAUGGAUAAUAAGAUCAUGACUGUAGCAUUUAUAACAUUUGUCAGAUCAGAUCGCUCAACCUAAUGGAAAGAUAAUCUAUCUAUACUUAUGUUUUUUUAUAUAUCUUCCAAAGAUUGCGUGUGCAACAUUUUAGCUCAUAUGAUUAGGAGUGUGGGAUCACAAAGGUGGAAGGACUAAACAUGUUGAACUGACUGGGUUGGUUAAUCUAGAGUUGUAAAUCAUACAUGUUUGUCUCUUUUAUUAAUGUGAACGCCAGAACCAAGGAGAAGCUUAUAAAAAGUGAUAGUCAAGUACCUUAAGAUGUUACCUUACUUGAAGAGUGAUGGUACAAUAUCACCUUGUGGAAGCUUUCCUUUCUUAGCGGUUGUGCAUCAUGUUUGUGGCACCCUCCAUGGAUCAUCUCUUGUGAGCUAUGCCUUCCUUGUGUAAAUUGUUAAACUUCAUGCGUCUCUCUCUUCGUCUCCAAUGUGAGUUUAUCUCAGAACUUCCCAGGUCGAUAUUGAAAGUUUUCCUGCAGGGGUUAGUCCAACAAAAUAUCCAAUAUCUACUAUAGCAUACUAUCGGCUCAAAAAUCAACCUAUACACCAUGUCUAAUUUGAUUUAGGAGGGCAUUUUAACCUAAGCACCAUGCUUAAUUUAAAAUCCCUUGGAAGUAAGAUCAUCAUUCCUAAACUAAGCACCAUGCUUAAUUAAGAGAUAAAUGAAACUACUCCAAACCUAGACAUAUACUAAAGCAAAUAAAGGUAGCAUGAGAGCAUUUAUAGAGUUCUACUUAAGUGGAGAUGAAGUAGUGUGAUUAGUAUUUAACAGAUUGAGCAUGUCUCAAUGGUAGGGACAACCAACAUAGCAACAUGGCAAAGGAUGUUUUUAUGUAAAGUACUCCUCCAAGCUUGAAUUUUGUAAAAUUCAAGUUUGGAUGAAUUUAAUUCAAUGUUGCAUGAUGAUUCAUCCGAUCUUCUUGCUCCAAUCCUGGAAAGGUUAGUGACAAGAAUACCCGAAGGAAUAUUUUUACAAUUAUCCUUAUAUGCUCAACACACAAGGUAAUGUUGCAAAUAAUUAAAAGCUCAUGUUACAAUCUGAUCAAUGCUUGUUUUAGGACACUAAGCUUGUCCUUGGGAAACUAUCAAUUUAUGUCGGCGAAGUGGUUUCCCCUCCAACGCUGACCUAUAUCAAGAUCAACUCAACGAGAUCUGCAAAAUUUAUUAUAGACAUAUGCAUCGACAACCGCCCUUUUAAAGUUUUUAUGAAUAGAAAGGAAGAGGGGGUUGGAGAUCUCAAAUGUGGUGAUGUUGGAGAGACCAAUGGAUUGUGAAGAUGUUGCAUAUGAGCAUGGAGUAAAUGAAGUGGCUAUGAAAUAAAUUCCAUGCUCAUUAAUGCUUGGAGUGAAAUCCAUGUGGUGUGGUGCAAAUGGUAAGGUGAGUGUGGUAAAAAAGGAAAAGAAAAAGGAUACACGAACGACUUGGUUCGAAACUAGCACAGCUACCGUUCUCCGGCAACAGCGCCAGAAAGCUUGUUGGGUAUUUUAAACGCAAACAGAAAAAUCCGCAAGCGCACGGAUACCAUUGUAGCUUUCACCCGGGUGUAUUCCAGAGUAUCGAUUUUCCACAGAGAAUGUGAGUGUACUAAUUAAGAAUCAAGAUCACCCAAGGAUAACUAUAUAAUUAUUUUUGGUGGGAAGAGAGGAUGUUUCCUGAGAGUUCUCUAGUUGAUCUAAGAAUCAAGAAUUACUUCAAAGAUUAUUUAUAUCAAGACAUCAGAGCACUAACCACAAAAAGAGAUGAGAAGGGGGCUAGGAAGGUCUGACUACGGUCCUACAAACACCGAUCCGAACGAGGUGGAAUACGUCGACCGUUAGGGCUGUCACUACCCUAGGGCUACCACAACAAUCCGUAGGAUUGGGUGCAAUUCCAGGUAAUUGCAAGACUAAAGACCACGUCUAAUCUAUUAAUUACUACUCUAAUGUUUCAAAGAUUAGAGCACUUGAUGCAAGCGGGAAUCCAAUAAAUAACUUGAAUGUAAAUAAAAGUAAUUAAAGAACUCAGGAAUUAUGAAUUGAAGAACUUGGAGAACGAUGAAGAACGAACCAGUUGCUGCAAAAGUAUAAUGUUGAGGAAGAUUCGACAGAUCCGGCUCCUCCUCCGCUCUCCUCUUCUCUCUCCCUAUUUUCUAGAUUACAACUAGAACUAACUAGAACUAGAGGAACUAGAACUAGAACUAGAUGAACUAGAACUAGAUCUAGAUGAACUAGAUGUAGAACUAGAAGAACUAGAGGGAUCCUCUCUACUUGGAUGAAGAAUUGAAACCCUAACUUCGAUUCUGUAGAAGAGGUAUGAUCUCCAGGGACCAGGGGGUCUGGUUUUAUAGUCCCUUCAAGUGAAUAUGAGCCGUUGGAUCAAACCGACAUUGAUUGAACGGUUAUCCUUGAUCCUUUAGGUCGGUGGAGAUUGAUCCUGAAAGAGAGUCCUGUUUGGACUCUAGGAGGGGGCGGGCGCCCAGUGCCUGGCCCCGUUCGGCCUCCGCUUCCUUCCCGUGGCUUCUGGAGUCUUCUAGAUGGUAGAAAAUUGCGCGGCACGUUAAUAUCUCUAUGUAAUCCCGACGUGUGGGCCUUUCUUCCGUAUUUCCUGAUAACCCCUUGCAGAAAUAGACAAACACCAAAACUCGUGGAAUUCUGUCAGAUAAAAACCUAAGUCUAGGUGUUGGUUGCAUUUGGAUCCUUUUCUAUGAUUAGUUGAUGGUUAAAUGUGAGCAUUAAGGACCGUCAACACAACCUUGGUAUAACUUGGAUACCUCGGUCCCCGGAAUGGUCCUCGCGUACUGGCGGUGCUUGCCAAACCUGCGAUUUGGUCCUGGAUAGUGUAAUAUGGUGAUCUGUAGCUCACUUGAUCAGUGAGUGUGGUUUGUGUGGGGAAUAAACUCGCCAGCUGGUUAGAAAUUGAUUCGAAUCGCCAUCGCUCCUGGAUAGUGAGCACUUGACAUGAGCUUCGUCAUUGUAGUAAGGACUAUGAAACACUUCGGUUAUGAUAAAGAAUGAUUUAUGAAUGCUAUGAUAAGAUACUAUCAUAUCACGACACUUGUUUGCAAUAGUACAGGUGCGAACCUAGAUGAUAGGUAAUAAUACCUAACCUAAGCUAAUUAAAGAAGAAGAGUAAUGCUAGGGCAUACUCCUAGUUAAGUAACGCUUUUAUGCAAAAAGGUUUCAGCUACCCCACUAUACAGCCUUCUUGAUCCUUGCAGUGUCUUUACUUUUGGUUUAUGACGGGUAAGUCUAGCUGAGUACAUUCUCGUACUUAGGGUUCUACUCCCAUGUUGUUUUGCAGAUGGUCAGAUGUAUUAGGGUUAUUGCAUUCACUGCUUGUACCCAGCAAUGGGUGAUGACUAGACGAAGGGCGAUGGUCACUCUACCUCCUCUUUUGCUUUUGUGGGAAUGAUCAAACGAUGGCACUGUGUCGGACUAAGUAUGUGUGUCAUUUUAAAACUAUGAAGCUUCCGCUACUUGUGAACUUGGGUUGUAAUAACUUUAAGUGAACUCCGAUGUCUUGUGAUGAAUGUUGCGAACUGGAUGUAAUUGUGAACGGUGAUCGCUGAACUUAUUACGAUCUUGGCUGGAUGUAUGAGUUGUGGUUUGAAAUCCUUCGAGAUUUCACGGACUACCGGGAUUAUAGGGGCUUAAGCUUGAUGGUUUGAAUGUGCAAGCGGUCACUAUUAGGCUUAAUCUCUUAUAAUUUGAGUGGUUCUGUUACAGCUAGUAUUGGAGCAUGGCUCAGUGAAUUACUGUUCAUAAGUACGUUCUAAAGCAAACUUAAACCGGUUAAUAAAAGUUAAUUAUCAAAUUAAAGAUAAUCAAGGUGUUAAAAUAAGUUUUUGGAAAACUACACAGUGUGCCAUGGUCAUAUCCUUUAUGCCCAGUUAAGGACUCUAAGGUGGCUAAUUAAGUACUGACUUGGGGGUUAUGCAUCAUAUUUCUAUUUUCGUCGCUCAUACGGCGUGCAAUAGUAUGAGUGCCAUUCACUUAUGUGGUAAUGUAUGGAUCAAUUUUCCUCUACACCUCGGUAAGUGGGAGCUGUGAGAGCAUGAUUAGAUACACUGCCGGUCUAGGGGAGUGUUCUUAGGUGUUGUGUCUUGCACGCAUGUUGUCGUGCCUGGGAGCAGUACCGCAUGUUGGGAGAUUCCGUCCUGAGAGGCGAUGCCGUCAUUAGGGCGAUGAUGUGGAUAGUGGUACGCCAUAUGCAUAGGCGGGUGCCUAUGUGUGUGGGGUGCAUAGUUUUAAAUUCUCGUUCUGCAUAUUCAUACUAUGGUUGCGCUGAAAUGAGUUUUCUACAGGUACGCUAACCACGUUCUCGCAUAGACGCUAGUUACGUUAUGAGAGAACGUUAUGUGCCACCGCAUAUACAGAUUAGUAUUAACUUUCUUUCCUAAGUUUGUGCGAUCGUAAGUUCGUGCAUGCAUCAUGUUCAUUCCAUAUCUUUGCUUACCUCCUCCCCUUAAUUAACUCUGUCCCAAUUCCAAUUAAAAUAAUAAAAGGUAAUCCUCAGUCUAACCCAAGGCAUUCUAUUUGCAACAGAUGGCACGGACUAGGCUCACCGCUCGUAAGUCCACUGGUGGGCGGGCCCCUCACCAUUAGUUGGCAUUAGGAGCUCGUGCCACAAGAGCAAGUUCCUAGAGGAGUUUGGGAUGCCUACCUUGCUUUGGAGAGUGCUCAGUUCGAUGGGGUAUCCUGAAGGAAGGGAACCUCGCUAUUAUUGGAACAAGGAGCAGCUUGGUGACAGGACCCUUGUGGGGAUUGAGGCAGUGAUCCCUACCAGUGGAGGCGACCCAGCCUGGGGUGGUUGGGUGUACGAGUCCCGAGGUACCACGCCUUUCCAGGGUGCCAGCAGGGUUGCUUUUGCGGUUCUGAGAGACAUCAUGGAGAGGUUUUCGUAGGAGCUGGCUCACGCCUUCGCUGGGGUGUUUCCCCGGGGUGACCCCUACACUUCGGUGUGGGAUCAGUCUAAGGCGAAUGCUCUAGAGAGGAGUGCGGAUGAGGAUCAGCAUAGUGACAACACAACUAUGAGUGCUAUGUUUGCCUUGAUGAAGACCUAUGGGGGUCUGGAGCACUACUUGGGACGCUUGUCUGGGUCUCUUCUAACAGUUCAAGAUGAGAAGCGCCAGCUACAGCGUGAGUUUGACAGUGAGGUUGAGAGGCUGCAGGGAGAGUUGGCCCGUGUGACUCUGGAGAGGGACCAGGCAGUCCAGAAGAACAGUGAGCUGAGUCAGGAUCUGCUCGCAGUGAGAGAGCAGAGGGAUAGGGUGACCACCGCUCAUAGGAACUACGAUCGCAUGCUAGUUCAUGUGCUUGGUCAGAGGAAUGAAGCCUGGCAUGAGGAGGACACCCUGAGGGCCCGAUAGCUAGAGCUUGAGCAGCACCUAGCUAAUGCGGAGCAGUACAAUGAGAACCUGCACAAGGAGAUCAACCAGCUGCAUAACCAGCUCCACCCUCACCACCUACCUGGAGCCGCUGAGUCGGAUUCUGAGGAUGAGAUGGAUGUGGAUCCAGAGAUGGAGGCAGCCGCUAGUGGAGAUGAGGACGAGGAAGGUUCCGGCAUGGACAGUGACCAUAGCGAGUAGAUGCUAGGGCUCUAGAGUUAGUCCUUCAUCUUUUGUUGUCGUUGUUACAUGACUUGUGUUGUAUCUGUUGGAUCUUGGAUGCGUAAGACUUUAAGUGUUGAGUUGUGUUGGCAUUGAAAGUCCAGUGUAUGUAUGCUGGCAAUUUGGGAUGUAUGUGAACCCUGUUGGCUAAAUGUUAAGUAAUCCGUUGGUGAUGUUGUGUGUGGAUGAUGGAUUGUUCUGUCUCUGUUUACUAUGUGAAUUUAUUCUCAUCAGUAAAUUCAGUAUGGCAUGAUUUUACAUAUGUCUACCAGUUGAUAACAACUCAUAACGACUGCUUAACAUUGGAGCAUGCAGAUGGUGCAAACGCGUGGCGGGGGUAACAGCAACCCUGGUCUUGGAGAAGGUUCCUUCAGAGGUGGAGCUCGCAGGAAUGAGGGAAGAGCACCCACACCACCACCACCACCACCUCCUCCAUAUACUGCGGAUGUGUUCUUUGCGCAGUUUCUAGGGAGCCAAUGCAACAUGGAACAGAUGUAGCGCAACAUGGAAGAAGCCCUGCGCAAUAUCGCCGACAACACCCACCGUGGGGAUAACCAAGGCGGCCGUAAAGUAAAUCAGUACAGCUCUUUCAAGGACUUCAUGGAUACUAAACCACCGGUCUUUAAGGAGGCCCUAGAGGCGCUCGAGGCGGAUGAAUGAAUUAACACCAUGGAGCAGAAGUUUUGUCUCCUUCGAAUGACUGAAGAACUCAAGGCAGAGUAUGCAGCGCAUCAGUUGCAGGGGCCUGCUGGGAUAUGGUGGUCCCAUCAUCGCACCACCUACCCAGAGGGGACCUCGAUCACCUGGAACCACUUCACCAUCGCCUUUCGAGGAAAUUAUAUUCCUCUGGGUGUGGUGGAAAUGAAGGUUGGAGAGUUCAUGAAGCUGUCUCAGGGGACCAAGUCUGUGAAGGAGUACCUGCACGCUUUUAAUAAUCUUGCUCGUUAUGCUCCCGAGUUCAUGAACACAGAGGCCAAGAAGAUUGCUUGUUUCUAGAGAGGCUUAGGCCUGAAGAUGUUGAAGACUAUGGGUACAGGGACCCAGGCUACUUUCAAUGCCUACAUCAGUGACUGUCUGACUCAAGAGAACAAUAACAACAACUAUAGUGCAUCCAAGUCCCGCAAGAGGGCCUUCGAAGCCGGAUCAUCUCAGUCCAGGGCACCAGUGGCAGGGCAUCAGCAGUAUCAUCCUCCUGCCCAAGGUGCUAGGUUUCGACCGCCACAGAGAAGGAACACAGGGCAUCCAACGCAGCAGAAGCCGUACAAGGUAGCAGUGGCUCCCGCGAAGCCAAGGACGAAUCAAGCUGCAGCACCUGCUGCCAACAACAUGACCAAGGGGCCAUACUACAACUGCCACAAGAUGGGGCACGUUGCUAAAGAAUGUCCCUACCCCAAGAAGCAGCAAACCACCUACCCAGCCCGUGUGCACCAUACCUUGAUAGAGGAGAUCCCGGAAGGAGAACCGGUAACAGCUGGUAUGUUUCCUCUCAACCAACACCUUGCAGUUCUGGAUCAUCGCAUUCUUUCAUGAGCCAAGCAUUUGCACAAAAGCAUGACCAAGCAGUUACAGAUCUGGGGUGUGGCUAUCGCAUCAGCUCGGCAGGGGCAGAUGUGCUGAGAAAUAGAGUGGUCCGAGGGGCAACCCUUGAUAUAAGUAACCGGGUGUUUCGAGUGAAUCUAGUGGUCAUGCCCGGGUUGGUCCCAAAUGUUAUCAUGGGUAUGAACUGGAUGAAAGAGUGGGAUGUUGUUUUAGAUGUUGGGAAAAGAAUGUUAUCUCUUAGGGAGCCUCAGGGUAGUGGAUCUUUUCAAGUACCCCUGCCCCGUCGGUUUGACUUUGCUAGCAUCUCUUGUGCUACACAAGUGGUUCCUUUACCUCAAAUCCCAGUGGACUGUGAGUUUCCUGACGUUUUCCCGGAAGAGUUGCCAGGACUUCUCCUGGAUAGGGAAGUAGAGUUUGCAAUAGAGUUGAUACCAGGUACAACACCCAUCUAUGUGGCCAUACUGGAUGCCGCCCAACGAGAUCGCCGAGCUAAAGACCCAAUUAAAAGAUUUAUUGGACAAGGGUUUCAUCCAGCCAAGUUCGUCAGAAUGGGGUUGCCCGACGUUGUUUGUGAAAAAGAAGGAUCAAUCGUUGCGCAUGUGCGUGGACUAUCGUCCACUCAAUGCGGUAACAAUUAAGAAUAAGUAUCCCUUGCCACGGAUUGAUAUCUUGUUUGAUCAGUUGUCCAAGGCAAAGGUGUUCUCCAAGAUAGAUCUGAGAUCCAGUAUCACCAAAUCUAGAUCCGUUCGCAAGAUAUACCCAAGACUGCUUUUUCUACUAGAUAUGGGUUGUAUGAGUAUCUUGUCAUGUCAUUUGGAUUGGCGAAUGCUCCUACCUACUUUAUGUAUCUGAUGAACUCCGUCUUUAUGCCAGAGUUGGACAAAUUUGUUGUGGUGUUCAUCAAUGAUAUCCAGGUCUAUUCAGAGUAUGAGCAAGAUCAUGCCGAGCAUCUACGAGUCGUGCUGACACGACUGCGAGAACAUCAGUUGUAUGUUGACACUUGCUAACACCACUUGAAUACUAGGUUGUCAUCCCCAGCAUGACACUAGAGUGUACUAUGGUAUUUAUACGCACACAGAUAAAUCCACAAGCGCACGGAUACCGUUGUAGCUUUUACCCGGUUAAAGAUUUUAUCGUAUCCAUAGGGAAACAGGAGAACCAACUACGCUCUAACUUAACCAAGAUAGAUAGAUAAGUGUAAAUAGGAAAGAUGGUAGAAUUGAAUAAGAACAAUAUUAAAGGUAAGAUAACAAUGGGUGAUAAUAUGGGAAUAGAGAGUAGAGCAAUCUAGUAUAUGGGCGAUGGUAGCAGAAUAGAGAGGAUAACUAUGGUUUCUCUACUUCAAAGGGGUAUGUCUAAGCCUGGGACGAACCACAUGAUAAGAAUACACCACAAAGGAUGCUUAUCCAUAGGCCAAUAAACCCUACCCGUCCUGCUAACAGGAGGUGGACUACAGGGGACCAACGUAACUGUCACCUACGUGGCCUACCACACGAUCCAGCUAGAUAGAGGAUAUCCACAAGUAAUCUAGGUCUAAGCACCACGCUUACACCUAUACUACAACUCUAACCUAUAGGGUCCUAUAGAUUAGAAGUACUCAAAAGAAUUGUGAACCAGAACAUACAUGAUUAGUAAUUGCAUAAUGAAUUAGAAGUAGAUUACCAGACUCAUCCCAUGAGCAAGCUUGAUUAGAGCUUGAUCAUGGCGAAGUACAACUGGAGGAAGAACCGACAGGCCGGCCUCUCCUCCAAUCCUCCCUCGCUCUCCAUCUUGCUACUAUCUAGAUCUACUCUAGUUUAGAGAUGAGAGGAGAGCUCUCAUCUCCAAUCCCUAGCUUUUGCUCUGUAUAUGAAUAAUGAAUAGGGAUCAAGGGGUGCCUCCUCCAGGGGCCAGGGGGUCUGCUUAUAUAGUCCCCUCAAGUGAAUUUGGGCAGUCGGAUCAAACCGACAUUGAUUGAAAGGUUAUUCUUGAUCCUUUCACUCGGUGGAGCAUAAUCCCCGAAGCGAGUGCUGAUCGGACUCUGUAGCUGGGCGGGCGCCCAAGGGGGGAGGGCGGGCGCCAUGCCCCUAAGCCGGCUCGGCUUCCCGUUCGUUCCUGUGGCUUCUGGAGUCUUCUAGAUGAUAGAAAAUUGCGCGGCACGUUAAUAUCUCUAUGUAAACCCGAUGUGUGGGCCUUUCCUCCAUAUUUCUUGAUAACCCCCUGCAGAAAUAGACAAACACCAAAACUUGUGGCAUUCUGUCAAAUAAAACCCUAAGUCUAGGUGUUGGUUGCAUUUGGAUCCUUUUCUUUAUUUAUUUGAUGAUUAAAUUUGAUACUUAAGGACAGUCAACAACUCCCCCAAGCUUACCUCUUGCUCGUCCCUGAGCAAGGAUGGACUCAUGAGUUUCUACGGUGGUUUCAUGCCUUAAAGAUACACAUGCGUUCAAACAAGAUAUCAUCUCUAGGUUAAGGUAAACUAUUAAGAUUUAAACAUACUCAUAUUACCUUCCACCAUAGGGCUUGCAACCGUCACUUGUGUAUUGAGCAGUUAAAAGAUAGAACGGUCAAGUCAAGCACCAUGUCUCUUGUUCUUUGAUCAACUAUAGCUAUGGAGUUUUUGUAGAUUUUCAAAUAAAACUCAGAGAUUCCUUGUAUGACUCUCUCAAUUCUCUCUUUUGUGGUAUUUCUGGAUCCUUACCAAGGCAGUGAUGAUAUAUGCCUUCUCUCUCACCCUACUCUAACAAGGUUUUGAUAUGUGGAGCUCAUAGGUGGGAGACAGCUAAUACAUACUUACAAGGCAUUUAUUGCAUAGUCAAACCAUGGAUCCAGAGAAACAAGUCAAUAAGUCAAAUCAAGAUGUGCAUGUGUGGUGAAUGAAUGGUGUAUGGUGAUAAUGGUGAUAAUGGUGAAAACAAUGGUGAAAGUCUAAUUCUACUUUUGCUCUUUUGAGGGGAUACAUAUCUUUCUUGCACUUUGAAGCUUUUUGAAGGGAAUGAGAUGCUCUAUAUUUUCUUUUUCUUUUUGUUAUCUCUUAGGUGGGUAUCUUGUACCCCUAAUUCUACUGUCAAACACUUAUCUAUUUUUACCUCUCGUCUUACUUUUUCAUUUCUUUCGAGGUUCCAGGCACUUGCCCCUUUUUAUUUCCUCGUAUUCAUUUUUUUCAGAGCACUCACCCUCUUGGAAUAAUGUAGCAAGUGGUAGUAACCAAAAUAUCAACAGCAAUUAUUUCACGGGGAAUAACAGGGAUAGGAUAAUGUUUUUGGCUAUUCUCUCCUGGAUAGGAGUAGAAUAAUUUUAGGUGAAUCUGGAGAUGGAAAGGAGUGGAUGUAUGUGGAUGCGUACUUCCAGAGUAGAAGCAGCAUGUAUGAGUGAACGUGCAAGUGAAUCUUGAUUUUAACUGCAUGACAAGCUCCUAAGGGUCUACACAGCUUGACCACACUCAAUGCUCAUAAGCAGUAAAAAGUAAAUGUAUGGUUCACAGUCUAAUAAGCAUGUAUAUAUAGCUGUGGUAGGAUUUUAAACUCUCAUCAUACAGUAACUCAUCAUGCAACAUUUUAAAUAUUUUCAAAGAUAAAAUUCUCCAGAAUUCUAGCAUCUCUAGGAACAGAUAAAUAGCAGCUCAACCUUCCCAUAUCGUAUCCGUUAACGACUUAGACUUUAGAUCAAGUACUCUUCCCACAAGUUCAGGUUUAGAGCAAAUCUUAAUUCAUAACAGUCAUGCCUAAACAUGAGAGAGAAUUCAAUUUUGAGAACUAGUCAAGGCAGAGCAACUAUUCAUCAUUUUCUUGUGAGAGCUUAUCAUGGGGGUUUAUAGCAAACUUCAUUAAUUUAUUUAUUUAGCAAACUAAGAAAAGAUAUAUAUAUAUAUAAGCAUAAAAUCCUUAUUUGGGUUUUUUAUGAUUAUGCAUCUUUUUAUUAUUUGAGUAAAGUAUAAACAUGCGUAGAAACACUUAGCUGGAUAAAUAGGGGCGCUCUCCCCCAAGCUGGAUUUUGAUGUAAUUUCUUCUAAUGUAGCUAGCAGGUGGUGGAGGUGUAUUUGAAUGUCGGCAGCACCCUGACAGCGAUUAGAAUGUCCUCUAUCUGCUAGUCUUCUUUGAUCCUUGAAUUCUGUGGAGCUCAAAUAGACAAUAAAGCUUUAUGGAACUGGUUAAGUGUUAGCAUAAAAUCUCUUGGCCUUUAUCAUGUUUAGCUUCCUCUAAUAAAUAUUACUCUCUUUGGUAGGAUCAUAAAUUUAUUUUUAUAUUUUCAUUUCUAUAGGACAGGAAUAUAUUUAUUUUAUUUUUACGCCACCACAGUGAAUGUACUUAUGGGUUUCAUGCCACGAGCAUACUCACAUGGGGCUUAGUAUUUUUAAUAUUUUUAUUUUCUUUUCAAGAUAGCAUGAUUAACUAAUAAGCUAUUUAAGGAAAGUAAGUAAUUAAAGGGAAAAGGGAAUGCAGAAAGGAUAAAUAUGGAUAACUACCGAUUUUACCUUUCGGCGAGGGUUCAAUGUUUUAAAUCUUCUGAACAAGACUUCUCACCGUGUUCAUUCUUCAGGUGCAUCAUUUGAUUCAGGUGUAAACCUUGACGUCUGCACCUCUUGAUACGGUGUCACCCAUGUUCUUUGUUUGCCCAGCAGUUCGAAGUGCGGUGUUGGCAGUAUCUUGCUCAGUGUGUUUGUGAUCGUAGAUCCAGGUUCUUCACUUGGUAGAGUCUAGGAGUUGAAAAAUUCUUCAUGUUUCUCAAAAUGUGUCCUGCUCAUAGAGACAAGGCAGAGAUCUAGUGCAUGGGCCCUGUUGGUGGAAAACACCAACAAAACCAAAAGUGUAUUUGUUCUUCUCUAACCUUAAACAUGGUGAGUAAGACAAAGUUGAUGGAUGAUAAGUUUAUGAGUGUAGCACUUAUAACAUUUGUCAGAUCAGAUCGCUUCAACCUUAUGGAAAGAUAAUCUAUCUAUGUAUAUGUCUUUUUCUUUAUAUCUCUCAAAUAUUGAAUGUGUAACAUUUUAGCUCAUAUGAUUAGGAGUGUGGAAUCAUGGAGGUAGUACUAGGAACAAAGAUUAAAGGACUAAACAUGCUAAAUCAGUUGGGUUGGUUAAUUUGGAGUUAUAAAUCAUACAUGUUUGUCUCUUUAUUUAUGUGAACGCCGGAACCAAGGAGAAGCUUAUAAAAGUGAUAGUUAGAUAUCUUAAGAUGUUACCUUAAUUGAAGAUUGAUGGUACCAUCUUACCUUGUGGAAGCUUCCCAUUCGUAGUGGUUGUGUAUCGUGUUUGUGGCACCCUCCAUGGAUCAUCUCUUAUGAGCUACGUCUUCCUUGUGUAAAUUGUUAAACUCCAUGUGUCCCUCUCCUUAUAUCCAAUGUGAGUUUAUCUCAGGACUUCCCAGGUUGAUAUUGAAAGUUUUCUUGCAGGGGUUAGUCCGACAAAAUAUACUAAUGUCUAUACAAGUAGUUUUUAGUUCAGUAACCAAACUAGACUCCAUGUCUAAUCAGAUUAAGGAAGGUUGUUUAACCUAAGAACCAUGCUUAAUUUAAAAUCCAAUAGAAGUAUGUGCAGUACUUGCAAACUAACACUUACUAGGAUAAACAAAGGUAGCGUGAUGGCAUUUAUAGAGAUCUACUCAAGUGGAGAUGAAGUAGUGUAAUUAGUAUUUAACAAAUUGAGCAUGUCUCAAAGGUAGGGACAACCAACAUAGCAACAUGGCAAAGGAUGUUUUUAUGUAAAGUACUCCCCCAAGCUUGAAUUUUGCAAAAUUCAAGUUUGGAUGAAUUUAAUUCAACGUUGUAUGAUGAUCGGUUGGACAUACCUUGUGCUUGUCAUUCAUCCGAUCUUCUUGCUCCAAUCCUAGAAAGGUUAGUGACAAGAAUACCCAAAGGAAUAUUUUACAAUUAUUCUUAUAUGCUUAAUACACAAGGUAAUGUUGUAAAUAAUUAAAAGCUCAUGUUACAAUCAGUGCUUAUUUUAGGACACUAAGCUUGUCCAUGGGAAACCAUCAAUUUAUGUUGGCGAAGUGGUUUCCCUUCCAACGCUGACCUAUAUCAAGAUCAACUCAACAAGAUCUACCAUAUUUAUUGUAGACAUAUGCAUCGACAACCGCCCUUUUAAAGUUUUUAUAAAUAGAAAGGAAGAGGGGGUUGGAGAUCUCAAAUGUGGUGAUGUUGGGGAGACCAAUAGAUUGGGAAGAUGUUGCAUAUGAGCAUGGAGUAAAUGAAAUGGCUAUGAAAUAAAUUCCAUGCUCAUUAAUGUUAUCUUCGUCUCCAAUCUGAAUUGGUCUCACUUAUGUCCUCUUCUAUAGUUGGAUGAAUCCCAUUUUCAAAGGGAGUCAAGAACUCACCAUUUGAAAUUGAGCCAAAGUCAGAAUCCAUUAAGGCUUUCUCCUUAUCCAUCCAUUCUACACAUUCUAGCCAUUUAGAACUUGUGAUCAGGAAAGGGGAGCUAAUAGAAUUUUCUAUAUGGCUUAGCUCUCCUUCACUUGAUAUGUCAUCCUCGACUUCUUCAUAAGAGGAACUAGGACAUUCUCUAAGAGAACCAUCAUUGUAAGGAUUUGAAUUGUCUAUGCUUGAAAGUUUCUUAUGGAACGAGAAGUCUAAACCAUCAGUAUCUGAAAGAAUUAAGGUCGGAAUUCCUUCCUCCCUUGGAGAAUUUUGGGGUAUCGAUGGUUUAGGAUCGAUAGAUAAAGUUUGGGAUUGAAGUGAUUGUGAUCUGGCUAUCGAAAUUUCUUCUUCUUGUCUAGGAAUUGGUUCUUUCUCUUUCUCAAGGAUAUAAAAGCUAGGAGACUUUCCGCUCAUUAAAUCAAUCAAAUUCCAAGCUUCACUAGCGGGUAGGUGAUAGAAGGAUCCUAUGGAGGCUGUAUUCAAUGUUUGCUUAUUUUCCAUACUAAGGCCCUCAAAAAAGUGAAUUAGAAGAACUUCUUCUAGAAUAUAAAGCUUUGGGCCAGUGAGAGUAAGAUUAAUAAAGCGGUCCCAUGAUUUGCCGAGAGAUUCUUCUUCCAGUUGUCUAAAAGAAAGAAUCUCACGCCGAAGUUCCGCCACUUUGGAGAAUGGAAAAUACUUAGAGAGAAAACUAUUGUGUAGCUCCUUCCAAUCUCCAUGAGCACUUCCUAUGUUGAGUUUAUACCAAUGUCUAGCUUUUCCUGUUAAAGAGAACGGAAAGAGCUUCCAUUUAAGGGUCUCGUCGGACAUGCCUUCUAUGCGAAGGAGGUCACAGACUCGAUAAAACUCUCUUAGGUGUGUGUAUGGGUUUUCCUCACCUUCUCUUGAGAAAGGUUGUUUUUGUAUAAAUUCUAUGUAUUCGGGGUCUAUCUCAAAACUAGAUGCUAUGAUAGGCUUUGAAGAUUUUGGUGGUUCGAGAUGUGUGCCCGUAGGUCUAUGAAAUUCAUAGAUAGACAUGUUUGAAUUCAUGACAGACCAGAGAUCAAGGAUUAGAUAAGAAGAAUGAAUAGCAGAGAUAAGGCAAAAGAUAAAAUAAAAAGUAUAUAUUUUUUUUAUUUUUUAGAAAAUGAUUAAGCUAGUUCGUAGUCAACUCAGCAACCGUCUCCCCGGCAACGGCGCCAAAAAUGCUUGUUGACACUUGCUAACACCACUUGAAUACUAGGUUGUCAUCCCCAGCAUGGCACUAGAGUGUACUAUGGUAUUUAUACGCACAUAGAUAAAUCCGCAAGCGCACGGAUACCGUUGUAGCUUUUACCCAGUUAAAGGUUUUAUCAUAUCCACAGGGAAACGGGAGAACCAACUACGCUCUAACUUAACCAAGAUAGAUAGAUAAGUGUAAAUAGGAAAGAUGGUAGAAUUGAAUAAGAACAAUAUUAAAGGUAAGAUAACAAUGAGUGAUAAUAUGGGAAUAGAGAGUAGAGCAAUCUAGUAUAUGAGCGAUGGUAGCAGAAUAGAGAGGAUAACUAUGGUUUCUCUACUUCAAAGGGGUAUGUCUAUGUCUAGGACGAACCACGUGAUAAGAAUACACCACAAAGGUGCUUAUCUAUAGGCCGAUAAACUCUACCCGUCCUGCUAACAGGAGGUGGACUACAGGGGACCAACGUAACUGUCACCUACACGGCCUACCACACGAUCCAGCUAGACAGGGGAUAUCUACAAGUAAUCUAGGUCUAAGCACCACGCUUACACCUAUACUACAACUCUAACCUAUAGGGUCCUAUAGAUCAGAAGUACUCAAAAGAGUUGUGAACCAGAACAUACAUGAUUAGUAAUUGCAUAAUGAAUUAGAAGUAGAUUACUAGAGUCAUCCCAUGAGCAAGCUUGAUUAGAGCUUGAUCAUGGCGAAGUACAAUCGGAGGAAGAACCGACAGGCCGGCCUCUCCUCCAAUCCUCCCUCGCUCUCCAUCUCGCUACUAUCUAGAUCUACUCUAGUUUAGAGAUGAGAGGAGAGCUCUCAUCUCCAAACCCUAGCUUUUGCUCUGUCUAUGAAUAAUGAAUAGGGAUCAAGGGGUGCCUCCUCCAGGGGCCGGGGGGUCAGCUUAUAUAGUCCCCUCAAGUGAAUCUGGGCCGUUGGAUCAAACUGACGUUGAUUGAAUGGUUAUUCUUGAUCCUUUAGGUCGGUGGAGCAUAAUCCCCGAAGCGAGUCCUGAUUGGACUCUGUAGCUGGGCGGGCGCCCAAGGGGGGAGGGCGGGCGCCCUGCCCCCGAGCCCGCUCGGCUUCCCGUUCGUUCCUGUGGCUUCUGGAGUCUUCUAGAUGAUAGAAAAUCGCGCGGCACAUUAAUAUCUCUAUGUAAACCCGACGUGUGGGCCUUUCCUCCAUAUUUCCUGAUAACCCCCUGCAGAAAUAGACAAACACCAAAACUUGUGGAAUUCUGUCAAAUAAAACCCUAAGUCUAGGUGUUGGUUGCAUUUGGAUCCUUUUCUUUAUUUUUUUGAUGAUUAAAUUUGAUACUUAAGGACCGUCAACAUUGUAUACAAAGUUCAGCAAGUGUGAGUUCUGGCUGAAGAACGUCCCUUUCUUAGGGCACAUUCUGUCAGAAGAAGGAAUUGAUGUGGAUCCAUCAAAAGUAUAGGAAGUUAUGGACUGGAAGGCACCAACUUCUGUCUUGGAAGUUCAAAGCUUUCUUGGUUUAGCCGGGUAUUAUCGUCGUUUCAUUCCCGACUUCUCCAAGAUAGCUAAGCCAAUGACCAGUUUGCUACAAAAGGAUCAUAAGUUUGCUUGGACAGAAGGGUGUGAAGUAGCCUUCCGCACCUUGCGAAAGCUACUGACCACUGCUCCUGUUCUUGCACAACCAAAUAUCGAAAAGCCUUUUGAUGUGUUCUGUGACGCAUCGAAAAGUGGUUUAGGAUGUGUGCUGAUGCAAGAAGGCAGGGUUAUAGCUUAUGCUUCACGAUAGUUGAGAAAGCAUGAAAUCAACUAUCCGACUCACGACCUUGAGCUAGCAGCCGUUGUGCACGCUCUGAAGAUCUGGAGGCACUAUCUGCUGGGGAAUAAGUGUCAUAUCUACACAGAUCAUAAAAGCUUGAAGUACAUCUUCACUCAAUCCGAACUAAAUAUGAGGCAGCGAAGAUGGUUAGAGCUGAUCAAGGAUUACGACCUUGAAGUCCACUAUCACCCAGGAAAAGCUAAUGUGGUAGCAGAUGCUUUAAGUCGCAAAUCACACUAUCAAGUUGUUCAACCUUUGUUUGAAGAUGGUUUGAAUCUCAUGCAUCCUGAAGUUUUAUGUCACAUACAGCUUAGUUGCUCACUCGAGAGCCAAGUGAUCGAAGGUCAGAAAUCAGACAAGGGUAUUGCUCAUAUCAAAGAGAAGAUCAAAGAUGUCCCAAGAACUCAGUUUUGGGUACACGAGAAAGGUGUAUUGUGGUUUCAGCACCAGUUGGUAGUUCCGAAGAAUCGAGAACUAAAGAACAUAAUCAUGGAUGAAGCACACCUUUCAAAACUUUCUAUCCAUCCUGGUAGUAGUAAGAUGUAUCAAGACCUGAGGUCUCACUUUUGGUGGACCAAAAUGAAGAAAGAGAUAGCAGCAUAUGUGACCCGCUGUGAUACAUGUUGCAGAGUCAAAGCUAUACACAUGAAACCUGCAGGGUUGUUGCAACCCUUGUCAGUUCCAGAGUGGAAGUGGGAAGAGGUCAGCAUGGACUUUAUCACAGGGUUGCCCACUACACGGAAGGGGAAUGACUCGAUUUGGGUGAUCGUAGAUUGGUUGACCAAGUCAGCUCAUUUCAUUCCAGUUAAGAACACGUACAGACCUCCUGAGUAUGCUGAUAUAUACAUGGCUGAGAUUUUCAAGUUGCAUGGUAUUCCCAAGACCAUCAUAUCGGAUAGAGGACCGCAGUUCACCGCUCACUUUUGGGAGUGAAUACAUAAGGGUUUGGGGACUAAUCUAGUAAGAAGUACCGCGUAUCACCCCCAAACCUCGGGUCAAACGGAAAGACUCAAUCAGGUGCUCGAAGAUAUGUUGAGAGCUUGUGUGUUAUCUUCAAAGGGAUAUUGGGAAUCGUGGUUACCUUUGGCUGAAUUCUCUUACAACAAUAGCUAUCAAGAGAGCAUCAAGAUGGCUCCGUUCGAAGCUUUGUAUGGUUGAAAGUGUAGAACUCCGUUAAACUGGGUUGAACCUGGUGAAAGAAGGUACUAUGGUAUCGACUUCGUGAACGAUGCUGAGAAGAAAGUGCAGAUCAUACAACAACAUAUGAGAGCCACACAAUCACGAUAGAAAAGCUAUGCUGACAAGAGAAGAAGACCACUUGAGUUUAAGGUAGGUGACUAUGUAUACCUCAAGGUUACACGAAUGAAGAAAGUUCAGCGCUUCCGAGUUCGAAGCAAGCUUGCACCUCGAUAUGUAGGACCGUACCCGAUAAUAGAAAGGAAGGGCCCUGUGGCCUACAAGAUUCAGUUACCUAAAGAGUUGAGCUCAAUCUUUCCGGUUUUUCAUGUAUCCCAGUUGAGAAAGUGUUUGAAAGUACCCGAGCAGAGGGUUGAACCUCGGGGAAUCAAGAUAAAGGCAGAUUUGGAAUAUAAGGAGCUACAAGUGGGUAUUGUAGAUACCAAGGAGCGGGUAACCCGAAAUAGAGUUGUCAAACCCUACAAGGUGGUGUGGAGUCAUCAUGAUAAUAGAGACACCACUGUUGCGUAUUCUUAACGACAUUACCAAAAGUAGACUUAGUUUUCUAAUUCUGAUAACGGCGCCAAAAAUGCCAAAUCUAUCUCUCAUACCACUUAAGCCAAAUUGUCAUCCCCAGCAUGACAUGAGACACGCGGUAUUGAAAUAUGCAGUUGCUCAUCUAAAUAAAUAAUGAAUGGGAUCUGCAAGCGCACAGAUUAAUAUCGAUGUAGCAUUUUAACCGGGAAGUAUUCCAGGUAUCGUUAUUUAUAUUUUUACCACUGGGAAGGGAUUAGUAACCAUCAAUGUUGAUUAUAGAAUAGAAUAUAAGAUUGAGUAUCUAUCAUUGCAUGUAUAAUUGAGAACAUUUAUCUAACUCUUUCAUACAGGGAUAAGUGUCACAUAAAGGAUUUAAAGUAAUGAAUAGUGACAAAGAUAAUUAAUCUGAUCAGCAUAACUUAGCCACAUAUAAAUAUGAUAAGCACCUCAAUUAGAUAUUCUUGCAAGUCAUUAGCAUGGAAUUAGAACGAACUACAAGAAUAUUUCCUAAGUUAUUCUCAACUAUAUAGUCUAGCAUUAUCAUAGUUAGUGCAAUUAUACUUAGCAAUCAUUGUGAGAUGAGACUACGCCCAUGCAUAGUGAUAUUAGCAAGGAAUAUGAGAAACAUCGUAAUCACUCCCCUAUAAUAAUGUUGCUUUGCCAGCCCAAUACACGAGAGGGGGACUAUAUAAGAAUCAAUGAAGCUGUCACUAUCACGAACUACCCGGCGAUCUGGCAUAUUGGGUACAAUCGUAGAUAAAUACGAUAUAAGCACCACGCCUACACAAUAUCUAUCAUUUACCCAUGGAUCCGAUGGAUAAACGCUAUACGAUCCUAAACAUAUAUAUAGAUCCAAUCUAACUAAGCCAAGUAUAACUAUGAUAAACUAAGAACAAUAUAAUUGCAAAUAUAAACAAGUAGAGCAAAGUCAUAACCAAUAUAUUAAAGUAGAACAAAGUCAUAUUCAUAAUAUUGAAGAACAAAGAUGAACAAUUGAAGAACAAUAGAGAAUUACCAAGAAUCCUCUUGACAGAUCCAGAAACCAAUCGAAGAUUGACUCCUUCUAGUUCUAAUCCUAUGUAGCUAUGCUAAUCUAGAUGUCUAAUUGAUGUGGUGUCUCUAUGCUCUAUCAGAGGCUUCUUCUCCCUUGAUCAAUAAUGAAUUAGGGUUGAGAGGCUCUCUCCUCCAGGGGCCAGGGGGUCUGGUUUUAUAGUCCUUCCAAGUGAAUAUGGGUCGUUGGAUCAAACCGACAUUGAUUGAACGGUUAUCCUUGAUCCUUUAGGUCGGUGGAGCUUGAUCCCGAAAGAGAGUCCUGAUUGGACUCCAGCAGGGGGCGGGCACCCUGGUCCCUAGGGCGGGCGCCCUGGGCUAGGCCCCAUUCUGCCUCCGCUUCGUUCUCGUGGCUUCUAGAAUCUUCUAGAUGUAAGAUAAUUGCGCGGCACAUUAAUAUCUCUAUGUAAUCCCGACGUGUGGGCCUUUUUUCCAUAUUUCCUGAUAACCCCCUGCAGAAAUAGACAAACACUAAAACUCGUGAAAUUCUAUCAGAUAAAACCCUAAGUCUGGAUGUUGAUUUCAUUUGGAUCCUUUUCUUUAUUUAUUUGAUAAUUAAAUUUGAUACUUAAGGACCGUCAACAAACUCCCCCAAGCUUACCUCUUGCUCGUCCCUAAGCAAGGAUAAUCUUAGCGAAGGAUCAGAAGUUGUUAUAAUGCCUUUAAAAUUGACGGUACACAUGCUUUUAAAUAAGAUCUCAUCUCUGAGUUAGAGUAAACUGUCAAGACUUAAAACUUAUUCAUUUUUCCUUUCACCAUGGGACUUGUAAGCGUCUCUUCUGUCUUGAGUAGUUAAAAGAUAGAACGGUCUAGUCAAGUGUCAUGUCUCUUAUUCUUGAUUAGCUAUAGUUCUGAAGUUUUUGUAGAUUUUCAAAUAAAACUCAGAGAUUCCUUGUAUGACUCUCUUUUUUGUGGUAUUUCUGGAUCCUCACCAAGGUAGUGAUGGUACAUGCCUUCUCUCAAAAUAUGUCGUAUUUGUGGUAUAAGGCAUAGUGACAUUUCCUUCUCUCUCACCCUACUGUAAUAAGGCUUUAAUAUCUAGAGCUCAUAGAUGGGAGAUAAAGUAUACAUACUCACAAGACAUUUAUUGUAUAGUCAAACCAUGGAUCCAAAGAAACAAAUCAAUAAGUCAAAUCAAGAUGUGCAUGUGUGGCGAAUGAAUAGUGUAUGGUGAUAAUGGUGAUAACAAUGGUGAAAGCCUAAUUCUACUUUUGCUCUUUUAAGGGGAUACAUACCUUCCUUGCUUUUUAAAACUUUUGAGGAGAAUGAGAUGCUCUUCUUUUUCUUUCCUCUCAGGUGGGAAUCUUGUACCUCUAAUUCAACUGUCGGACACUUGUCCAUUUUUACCUCUCGUCUCACUUCUUUUUUUCUUUCGAGGUUCCGGGCACUUGCCCCUUUUUAUUUCCUCGCAUCUUCUCUUUUUUUCUUCUUUUUUUAGAGCACUCAUCUCAUGAAAUAAUAUAGCAAGUGUUAGUAAUAAAGAUAACUUGAGCAUUAUUUCACAGGGAAAAAUAGAAAUAUUUUUGGCUAUUCUCUCCCGGAUUAGGAAUAGAAUAUUUUUUGGGUGGUUCUGCAGAUGGAAAUGGGUGGAUAUAUGUGGAUGCGUACUUCCGGAGUAGAAGUAGCUUGUGUGAGUGAACGUGCAAGUGAAUCUUGAUUUUAACCACAUGACAAGCUCCUCAGGGUCUACACAGCUUGACCACACUCAAUGCGCAUAAGUAGUAAAAGUAGAUGCGUGGCUCAAAGUCUAGCAAGCAUGUAUAUAUGGCUGUGGUAGGAAUUUAAACUCUCAUCAUACAGGAACUCAUCAUGCAAUAUUUUAAAGAUUUUCAAAGAUAAAAUUCUCCAGAAUUCUAGCAUCUCUAGGAACAGAUAAACAGCAGCUAAACCUUCCCAUAUCAUAUCCGUUAAGAACCUAGACUUUAGAUCAAGUUUUCUUCCCACAAGUUUAGGUUUUGAGCAAGCUUUAAAUUAUAACAGUUAUGUCUAAUCUUGAGAGAAAACUUCCAUUCGAAAAUUAGGCAGAGCAACUAUUCAUCAUAUCC